rnacentral:lncRNA from 1 species
AAGAGCAUUUGGAUUAAGGUAAGUAUAGCAUUUGGAUUUUAUUUCUGUGACCAUGAUCCUGUGGCUAGAUUGAUGUUAAAUAAUAAAUGAUAAAAAUGACUUUUUAGCAACUUGAUGAUUUAUCUGUACGUGAUCACCCGGGACAACAGUGCAACCAUGAGGGCUAUAAUGGCUCUGGCUUUAGCUCAGUAUGAGGACCUUUUUCUAGCUUGUUAGCGGUUACCUUAAAUGGCGUAAGAAUGGCUAGACACGUUGGGUAUAGUGUGGCCUCUGUCCAUGUGUAUAGUCUACGAGUUAUGUGCCAUGGAAGGGGGGCUCUAUAUCUGUCUGCCGAGUGAAUCUAAUGGCCCUAACUUGUUAGACGAAACCUUUGAAAAGCUUCAUAGUGAUCCCUGCCGACGUCCCUAGGAAGGAGGUUACGAGAUUAGCUACCUCGGGCGAAAGGGUAAAUCAUGACUCAUGGGUAAAGAUGUACAACCUCUGCAGAGUGUUAAAAACUAGUAUACUAGCCGUGCUCACGGUCAGGAGCGGCCUUGGGGACAUGUACAUUAAGGGUGAUGAUUCUUUUGCGCUAAAUAUGCUCAUUAUUUAUUGUUUAAUGCUUUACAUUAUUUAUGUCACAUUGAUCAUGAGAUUGUGGGAUCUAUAUAAUCUAGUUGCUAUACUUGUGGAGUUCGACAUGGACUCACUCUUGCUAUUUGCCCCACACUUCAGGAAGUGUUUUAGGCUUGUGAUCAACCAGUCAGUUGGAUCAGAAGUUAAUACCCGAAGUUUGGAGUUGUUUAUCCGCUGUUGCUAUCAAAGGUUAUUUCUUUUAUAUUAAGUAUGUUAUAUAUUUAUGCAUUGUCUUUUGAUAUUACGCCUUAUUUGUAGUUAUAUGUGAGAUUUGGUUUCUAAAACUCACGUAUGGUGCAUAUCUGGUUUUGUCCAUAAAAUCAGGUAUUGCACACAGUGGACAUAGGAUUUAAAAUAUUAUUCUCUUAUUCAAAAUCCUUUAAAAGAGCAACUUAUUUAUUGUAUUCUCAAAUAUUUUGUCACAUGUUUUCAAAUUUAUAUAUAAAACUAGCAGAAUAGAAAGUUGGACAAAAUACUCACAUGUAAAGCAAGGUCUGUUCUUGGUGAUAAUAAAAUCGCUUGGCAAGAUACCCAUGAAUGUACCAUAGUAGAGGGUUUACAGUGAUUAGUCAAGAAGAUAGAGUGUGAAAAUUGGUUAGACCAACAUGGUAGAAUCUCUGUUUCCAAAUAGAGGUUACAAAAUAAAUGGAUUCUAAAAGCAUGGUGUGUAAGUGUCUUAUUAAUUUUGCCCUCAAGCACCAACUUCCUUCUUGGAGGCACCUGCCCUAUGGCUUCCACCUUGCAUCUUGGGUUCUUCUUGGUAAAAACCUAAUCCAUGAUAAACGGGUCCAAGGGACCAUGACACAUAGGAGGGGGGGCGGGGAUUGAAUUAGGCUUUCUAAAAAUCUAUUAUGAAUUGUGGCAUCUAAUUUCCACCUAGUCAAAACCUAUGCAACAAAAUGAACUAUCUUGAUGUGCAGCUAUGGUUUUGUUAGGUGUGUUGCUAUCUCUACCGUGAAAUAGUUAUGCAAUCUCAGUUCCAAUUCUAUCAACUAGCCUAGCAAGCUAAACUAGAAUUGUAAAGCACACAACCUAAGCACACACACAUAAAUGCAGGAAUUUAAAUGAGAUAGAGAUGCAAAUUCAUGAUAUUAUCAACUAGCUUGUCUCAACUUGCCUUUUGCGCUUCAUCUUAUUGUGCUCAUCAAAUGUGAGAGCUAUGAUUUUGCUUGAUGAAGUGGCUUCUUCUUGACCCAUCUUCCAUGACAUCUCAAAUGCCACUAACCCGCUAAUGACAAGCACCAAGUUCAUUGUUCUCAAGUCCUCCAUGUUGUGGAGGAUUGUGACAAUUGGUGCAUAUUUGUCAUGUGGUAGCGCCAAGAUGAUCUUCCAUACAGUGUCCGCCAUCUUCGAGCUUUGUUAAACCUAUGGAGUUAAGCUCAUUGACAAUUAGAUUCAGACAUAAAUACAUCUCUCUAACAAGCUCCUCUUUGUUCAUUUUAAAAGAACCAUAGGUUUGUUUAGUUAGGCAAUGUUUUUUUUGCAAACGGACACCUAUCUUGUGUCUUGGACUUCUCACGCGCUUUAUACAUCUUGGACAUAUACUAUCUAUCCCUUAUAUUAUUUAAGUCAUAUAAGUACUGCCACUUUUACUAGGCAUACUAUUUAUGAUUUAUGAAUGCCUAAUCCAACUUUUAGAACCGAUUAAUGAAUUUAUAUUAUAGUUAUAGAUAAUGUCUUGAUUUAGUCUUUUAUUUUUUCUAUCUAUUUGUGUAUGAUAUACUUUCCCUUAUGAUAUCGAUAUCCAAUAAAGAGUAUUUUUAUUUAUAUUAUAUGGUGUAGUAUACAUCACACCCAUUCAUACUUUUGUUUCUAUUCUAUCCUCCUCAUUUAUCUUGUGUUGUGUAGAACAUGAAUAUCACAACUACCAAAGGAAAAGGAGCUCUCAAAAUGCAAAUAAUGCACCACUCAUCUUGAGCCCUCGACUAUAGCCUAUCUAAGGGAACCAGUGGUCCGCACACCAAAACCCAUUUUGAUGCAUCCAACAUAUAACGGUGGAUGGAAGGUUCUCCACCACAUCAGGCCAGAUGGAAGAGCUGAUUUUGUAAUGCCUCAUUCCUUCCUUAGUCUUUUUCAUGAUAUCAAAAUGCAAGUGUUUAUGGUGUACAAUUCUAUGUAAUUCCUGAUAAUACCAUUUGAGUCACUAGAGCUUUUAAGUUGUCUAAACUAACUCCCAUCCAAAACAAGCAUGCGUAAAUGAAAUAAGCCUUUUGUUUCUAGAAAUGACAUCUACUAUCUAUCCCUGAUGUUAUAUAAGUGAGCUUCUACCCCAGUUUUACUAGGCAUACUACUUACGGUUUAUGAAUGUAUAUUCUAAAUUUUAGAACUGAUUAAUGAUUAUAGAUAAUUGCUGAUAAUAUUUUUUUUCAAUUUAUUUCUUUGUGUAUGAUACAUUUUCCCUUAUGAUAUUGAGAAGGGUAUUUUUAUUCAUAUUAUCUUGAGAACUACAACAAGUGCCUAGCGAAAAAAAACUCCUCAAAAUGCAAAUGAUGCACCACUCAUAAUUGAGCCCUUGACUACUACCUAUCUGGGGGAACUUGUGGUCUGCACACCAAGAAGGUUCUGUUGCAUCCAACAUAUAAUGGUGGAUGGAAGGUUCUUCGCCGCUACAGGCCAGAUGGAAGAGCUGAUUUAGUAAUAUGACUCAUUCCUUCCAUAGUUUUUUUCAUGAUAUUAUUGAGUUCCAUUUUAUAUAAAUGAAAUAUUUUCAUGUUUUGAUAUUUGUUUGAUGUUUUAUGUCAUCUCUCCUUGCCUACUAGUUUACAAAAUAAAUGAUUUAUUUCUAAAUGUCUCAAAAUGGAAUAUGGGGUAACUAUAAUUUGCUUCCGCAUUUAUGGAAUAAUUUUGUGAACACUGAUUUAACAACAUCAUCAUAUUUGAUAUUCUGAGGAACCUAAACUUAUCACUACAAAAUGUUUAUAUGAAAUUUUUUUGUCGAGUAACUAUUAUUUGUGUUGCUAUACGUGCAAGGUAAAGGCCAAAGGGAGUUAUUCAUGCUACCGUUGGUAACCACGCUGAAUAAGGAUUUGGAGAGGCUUCAAUACGAAACAACUAAAACAGGAUCCGCCACCAAAAUGCUAGUGUUUAUGGUGCCUGAAUCAUUGUUAUCCCUGGACUAUAUAGCCAAUUCGGGCGAACUAGUGGUGCACACACAAAGCCCAUUUUGAUGCACCCAACAUAUAUAAUGGUGGUUCGAUGGUUUUCCGACACAUCAGGCCAAAUGGAAGAGUUGAUGUAGUAUUGACUCAUUCCUACUUUUUAUCUUUCCAUGAUAUUGUCCAUUUGCAUUUUAUAUGAAAUAUUUUCCAUGGUUUUGAUAUUUUUUGAUGUUUCUGUUAUCUCUCCUUACCUAGCUAACAAAAAGAAAAUGAUUAAUUCUUGAAUGUGUCAAAUUGGAAUAUGGGGUUAUUCAUUGUUUCCGUGAUUAAGGAAUAAUUUAGUCAACUAUGAUUUAAUAACAUCAUAUUUGACAGUUUGAGAUGAACCUGAACUUGUCACUACAAAAUGCUUUUAUGAAAUCUAUUUUCUCGGAACCUUUAUUUGUUACUAGGAUGUAACUUUUUGACAGUAAAUAAUAUGAAUAAAAUAAUACCCUCUCUUGUAACUAGGUAUCAUAAAGGAAAAUGUAUCAUACACAAAGAAACUGAAAAAUGCAAAUAGCUAAAUUAAGGCAUUAUCUAUAACUACAAUAUAGUUCUAUUAAUCAUUUCUAAAACUAAUAGCUAGAUAUUCAUAAAUUGUAAGCUUAUGCCUAGUAAAAGUGGUAGAACCUAUCACUUAAAUAAUGUCAGUUAUAGACAGUAGAUGUCAGAACUACAAAGCAAAAACAUAUUUCAAUUUAUGCAUGCUUAUUUUCGAUAUGAGUGGUUUUAGUUCAGGCAACUUAACAACUCCAAUGACUAUAACAGUAUUAUUUGGUAGUUAGAUCUCAAAAUAAAUAAAUUUCUAAGGUUUAAAAUUUAUCCAAAAAAAUAAUAUUCUACAGUCCCUAAUGAUAUAUAUUUGUUGAGAAAACAACAUUGUGGCUCCAUCCUUUAUCUACUCCUGCUUACCGUCUUCCUUCUGAAGAUUGAUCUCGUGUUCUCAUUAUCAUGUCCAUGGAUAAACAGUUUUGCUCUACAGAACAUACCGAGAAAUAAAGAACUAAAGAUAUCCAGUAGAAAUAUAAAAUGGAAGGUGGGACUCGAUCCUAUAGGCUGGUGUGUGUGAUUGUUUUCAACAUAGCUGCAUCAGUGUGUGCCAGAAUCUGCUUUGUCCUUCACCCGAACUAGAGUGGUGUAUACAUAUAUAUGUAUAAGAUUCGCUGCUGGCAAUUUUGUAUACACCUUCUCCAGCUGUUAAGUAUAUAAUACUGGAGCACUCGAUGUGAUGCCAAAUUGCAUGAUAAUGUGUCCAGCUCGUUUGCUCUUCAAGUAACUAUUAACCUCUUUACCCUGCCUAAGGUCGAAAUUAACCAUGAAAUGAGCUCACAUGAACUCAGACCUAUAUAUGGAAAAGAUAAAGGCUGUCACACUUUGUAAAUUGAUCUAAGCUAUGAUGCAGAUGAAUAUAAGUGUUCACAAACUGAGCUCAGAUAUGAAAUAAAGGUAUGUUGGCCCAGCUCACACACAGAAGAUACCCACGUGAUGUUCUUAUAUAUCACUCAAUGGAAGCACACGCACAAGAUGGAAGAAACUAGUUAUAUAUAUAGUUAUUACUCGAGACAAGUUUUAUAUAGUUAUAUAUAGGUCUGACUAUAUAUAUGUGUGUAAACAGCUUUCACUGAAUACUCAUAGUCAUUGAAAUUCCUAAGAACCGGUUCAUAAUCUUUGACUCAAUGAGAAAACCACAAGAAAAUUAUCAACAAAUGGUAAACAUUAUUCAAAGGUACGUAAUGUCGAUCUCAGCUAGAAGAAUAUCAUAAUAUGACUCUGUAAUUAUUAGUUCACGAUCCACAAUGGCUGUGUGUAGGGUUUGGGAAAGAUUCAUUGACCGUGAACAUCUCAGUGGAUGUAAAGCGCCGCUUAACAUAAUAUAUCCACAAGUAAGUUCUACUAGCUAGCAAACUUUCGCUAACUUUUAGCCUUCUUAUUGUCGUGGUCGUGAAUAUUUUUUAUAUAUAUAUCGUACAGUGGUGUUUAAAACAAGAAGGGGGAACAAUCUAUGUGCAUAUUACGUGUGCAAAUUCAUGAUGGCACAAGUCAAUCAAACACCCACAGAGACGCUCAGAGUACGUUUUAUGUCUCUUUUCAUUAUCUCUUGAAUUAUAUUGAAUAACUUAGAUAACUAAUAUAUUUUUUAUUUAUUUGGAAUUAAAGACGAAAUGGUUGAGGGAAAAGGUCAUACAAAAAGACCGAAUUAAAGCUAUCCAAGAGACGAUAGCAGGAUUUCUCCGCGAGCAAGUGAUCAAUCCAAACGGCGAGUUUCACUUCAACGGCAACGAAACUCUUAUUCCAAAUAACGAUGAUCAUUUGUAUCGUUUGUAGACAUUGGGAGAAAAAACUCUAUGUAUAUAUGUGUCACGAAUUUUGUACAUAUAAAACUAUAUAUAUAUAAAGUUUUUUACAUAUUUAUUUAAUUUUUGAUGUGACCUAUUCAUUUUAUUAUAGGCAAAGCUUAAUUAUAAAUAUACUAUUGUUUGAGCAGAAACAUGUAUUGAAAAACCUAUUAUUAUUAAAUAAAAAAAAUAAACAGAACCGAAGAAGUGAAAAAAAAAACCCUUUAACACCGGUUGGUAAUACCAACCGGUGUUAAAGGGUCCUGCAACGUGGCAGCCCUGCCAGGAUCCUUUAACACUGGUUGGUCUUACCAACCGGUGUUAAAGGGGGGGGGGCUUUAGCCCCGGUUCCCCGAACCGGAACAAAAGGGUGGGCCUUUAGUCCCGGAUGGGCAGCACCGGCUAGGGAACCGGGGCAACAGGCCGUUCCCGACCAGUGCUAAUGCCUAAUCCUGCAGCAGUGAGUACAGGACUAGCUAUCUUAUACCGGAGGAAACUAUUAGGUUUAAUUAGUCCCACGUUAGAAAUUAAUAAUGGGGAAGCACAACAUAAAAGUUAGAUGAGCCCUCACCUAUUAGGCUAGUGUUUUGGUUGAGUUAGACCUGAGACCUUUGUGUGUCGUAGGCUCUAGUGGACCUAAACAUGAGCGACGCCAACUCAUAGGAACAGCGCCAACACACACACACACAGUCUACUUGAAAUGGAGAAGAAGAAGACUAGCAAGAAGAGAACAACACAAUAAGAAGAAGAUGAAAAAUAUAUAGCUAAAAGCAUGACCUUAAUUAUAUGUAUAAAUCAGAUAAUAAAAUAAAUAAACUAGCCCUUGAAGUAUUAUAGUACUUUUUAGAAAAGUUUGAAUGUUGGAUUUUUGGUGUUGCAGAUGCCAAAGAUAGAUGAAUAUAAAUGUUCACAGAAUGAGCUCAAAUAUGAAAGAAAGAUAUGUUGGCCCAGCUCCUUUCUCAUGCACACAAGACACCCACAUGGUGUUGGAUACUCGUCAAAGCUUUGCCAAGUGCUGCCGCGACACUCGACAAAGAAAAGGCACCAUCACGGCACUCGCGGCGUUAACGGUUGCUUUGCCGAGUGCCAACCUUUUGGACACUCGGCAAAGAUUUUUCUUAAAAAAAAUUUCCAAAAAUUCUUUGACGACGGUCAGCCUUUCUGGCGCUCAGCAAAAAAAUUAAUUUUUUGGAGUGCAUGUGAUCAUAUGUGAGAUGUCUAGGUUUCUAAGCAUCGUACGAUACAACGUGCGCGAAACGUUCCUAAUUUUUUUAUCACAAUGCAACCUCCACAUGAGAUGUCAUGAUGUCUUGACAAGUUUCAUGAUUUUCAGAUUUCGGUUGUGUUUUAUACAAUUAAAAAGAAAUUCACCCACAAGUCAGCAUGCCAGCUCUAGGUUCAGAUCUAGUGUUUAGUGAAGUUUGUAUACCUCAUUACUAUUUGUGCUCGCAAGCCCCAAAUGUUGUACUCCUCAAGGCUUGUAAGUCUUGUGAGACCUCCAACAGACCAUCCGCUUCUCCUAUCUUCCUCUCCCUCUCUGUCGUCCAAUGGUGACCAUUGUCCUUCUUUCCUUCUAGUCCAUGGUGCCACCCCUCCUUCCUCUCUAAGAUCCCGCACAGACACCUUUCCCUAUCCAUAUGCCCUCCGCACUGUUGCUCCUCUCCUUUCUCCGGCCCCCAGCGACCUUCCACCCCCUUCCUCUCCAUCUAAACAUAAUAGGGUAUGGAAAACACGGGUGGUGGUGUUCUAGGUGGUGGUCUAGACGACAUUGCAUUUGUGAGGUGGUUGAUGAAGGCUAGUUCCCACUGGUACAGGACAGGCCUUUUGUCCCGGUCGAAAACCAAUUGUAGUUCCGGGUGGCGAGCCAGGACUAAGGGAUCGGGACUAAAAGUCCCACCUUUAGUCCCGGCUCUCCGACCCGGGACUAAAUGGGGACAUUUAGUCCCGAUUGGUAAUACCAACCGGGACUACAGGGGGGCACCAGGCAGUGACAUGGCGCCACCCCUGGCCACCCCUUUUAGUCCCGGUUGGUAUUACCAACCGGGACUAAAGGUUUUUGUUCUUUUUCUUUUUCCUUUUCAUUUCUUCAUUGAUUUUGGUUUUCAAUUGUAUAUGUUCUCCAAUUUAAUCGUAUACGCCGCAAUUAUCCGUAUACGUUGCACCUAUACGAGAGCGUCAUUAUUGCACACAAAUAAAGUAUGAAACUACAUAUAUAUAUUAUCCGUAUAUUAUAUAUAUCUAUAUAUAUUAUAUAGCUAUACACAUACGUACAUACGCAUUACAUUUACAAUAAUAAUAUUAUGUACAAGUAAUAAUCAAGUGUGCUGCCACCGGUUAAUGAUUAUAUAAUGUUUGCCCGCCCACUCAAAGCUCAUACAAGUGUUUGUCCUUGUUUGGAAUGGGCUUGAAGCCCUGCGGGUAUAAGUGGAACUCGCCGUCUUCCGGAAUGACAUGAUCGUUGAUAAAUCCGGCGAUCGUCUCCUGGACUUCAAGGAGUAAUGUGUACUCGAACACUAUAUCUUUCAUAUUCCACUCCUUCCAUUUGCAUUAGUUAAAAAAGAUAUUAAUAUACAUAAAAUCUAUUUAGUUUCAACAAAUAAAUAAGAUAUGAAUUUACUGUAUACACAUGCAUGUUACUUACUUUUAGAACACUUUGAGCAGAUUUAAAUAGGGUGCACCACAUAAAUUCACAAACAUAGUAUCCACAUAGAUUCGUUCCAAACGGCUGCGUGGGCACCCAAGGGAGUAGAACAGGAGGAGGAAGUGACACAUUCAGAUCCGUAUGAUAUUUUUGUUGUAGCCAAGCCCAAGCCCUAUCCAAUAAGAUGCUCGUUGAUUAGGUAUAGCUAGCAUAAUAAAGUAAAGGAGCACGCAUCGAUAUUUAAAGUAUGAUAUAUACUUACCUCUGGAUCAUGUCUAUUAUGUCUUGAUAGAGUGCCAGGUCUUUUUUCAUUGAGUCCCACACAUGUAUUUUUUGUUCCGUGAUCUUAAUCUCAAUGAGUAUCCAGGGAUCUCUGCAUUUGUUUAGAGUCAACUUAUAUAUGUAUAUCUUAAUGCCGGAUUAACUAAGACAUGAUAUAACACAACACUUACCCCAUAUUGUAAGGGAAGAGUAUCUUCUCCGUAUGCCUUUGGUUAUAAAAGAACCUCCGGAGGUUCUUCUCCAUUUCCUUAGACUUCAGAUUCAAUGGAUCUUUAGUUUUAGUGUCCUUGUACACGACAUAUGGAUCGAUGAAACCAAUUCGAUUGUCUUUUUUUAAUCUUUGUUCUCUCAUCAUGUGUCUGCACAUCGUGAGCGUAGUUAUUACGAAUACAUACAUAUGCUAUAAUGGGAUUAAUGAUUGAAAGGAAGAAUCACUUACAGACAGUAGCAGCUCAUGAGAGAUUUGUCGAGAGCAUUCAUAUGGAGCAGUUGGUGUACUUCACUAAAAUCUAUCCAUAUGACGUCAUCUCCACGGAAGUAGUGUCGGUCGCGGACUUAAACGGCAAUCAAUUCUUCUUCUAUAUGUUUUGAGCUGACUCUCAAGUAGUACUCGUGCAGCUUGUAUAUUUGCGUACCAAGUCCUCGUACCUUCUCAGGGUGCCACAUACUCCUGCCGUAAAUGUACCGACUCUGAUAGUCAUCGACACCUCCGUGGAUUGGCGCAUCGGUACGCCCUAGAAGUGCUUCUAGGGGCAGCCCAGUUUCUUCCAUCCAAUUCCCGAGCUCAUCUAAGUCCACAUUAGUAGGUAUAGUCAUUGCUAGCAAGUUGGCGUUUGAACCGUACUCAUUCGCAACCACUAGUGGCUGAACUGAUUGUUGCGCUUGUUCGCCGAGCUGUGCAACUUUUUGCUGGACUUUUCUUUUGUCUGCCUUGAUUUUCUUUAGGACAGUAUGGUCGUAGUCUGAUAUUGUUGACCCUAGUUGUUUACUCGCAGCACGGUUCGCGUCUGUCAUUUUCUGCACCACUUGACGUAGCUUUGAACGAGGAUACAUCAGGUAUGGCGGCUCUUGCUCUGCUUUUCUAUUAGCUUUGCAUUUUUCAAAGAAGCUUUGACUUCUGCUUUGCUUGCAGCAAGCACUUCCUCAUCGGUCUUCUCAUAUGAAAGCUUGGUCGUCUUCGUGAUCUUCGUGUUCAAAGCUUUCCUCUUUGCCGCAGGUGGUUGGAGUGAUCUCUGUGUCUCGGCGGACGACCUCUUCCUCCUCGAUGCAGCACCAGCCGGUGUCGAUGAGGCGGCGGCCGUUGUCGUCGGCAUUGGUGGAGGCAGCGGCGCAGGUGGAGCUUGCUGUUCUGGAGGAGAUUCGACCACGGGCGGCGUUGGAUUCCUUCAUGGAGGAGAUGCGGCGGCCGGUGGUGGGGAUGCGGCCUUCUCUUGUACGUCGUCGUUGUCGUGUCCCACGGCACUAUGGUCAUGCGGUGAAUGGACAGACGGACUUCGGUGGGGGGAGGCCCUGGAUUUGAAGAAAAACAAAUAAAGUAUAUGUAUACAUGACUAAAUGUAAUUUGAUACAGUAUAUAAUUAUAGAAAAAGCAGUAGCGUCCACAAUAAUCUGCACCUGCUAGGGUUCGGUUGUGGCGGCGGCACCCUAGGAAUAAUGAUGUACCGUUUCCUCCAACAUAUGAAUGUCUUCUCUACUUCACUAAGUGUCUUCUCUCCAUCACCGCCUUCGAUAUCGAGAGGCACAUUUUCACGGCCUCUGACAACUCUAUCCACCGAGACACAAGCAUAUCUGGCUGGUAUUGGGACAGAGUGGAUCCUUGGUGUCUUGGUGGGGUCGAUAGGAGAUACGAUACCAGUAGCCACCUUUACUGUGCCAUCGCCCUUCGUAAUAUGGAGCUCACAAGACGUCAACAGAGCAGUGACGUCAUCCACCGGGAAUCGCAGCCCUACGUCAUCAACUUGCCUCGUACGCGCCUCCGUAGAAGCACAACUGCUCUUUAGAUGAACUGAGCAAGGGCUGAUGUUGGCGGCCGGUGGCUGUGACAAGCUUUGGAGGCGGGAAGUUACAGCUUCCUCCACGGCCUUUUGGAUUUUCUCAUCCAUUGUGGCCGUCAGCGCUUGCUCUCGCUCAAGGGCCCGUUGAGCCACUUCUUGGGUCUUUAUGAGUCCUUCCUCCAAUCUGUGUAUCCGUUCCCUGUCCUCUUCCUUCUUUCUCUGGCGGCUUCCAUAAGUUUCCCUAUCAGCAGGGAAGGCAUGUUCCCACGACACGGUGCCAUAGCCUCUCGUCCAUCCACCGUACUCAGGGUUCCCUAGGGCGAAUGUCAACUCAUCUUUAUCUCUAUUCGGCUGCCAUUCUCCACUUUCAGCCGAUGGAGCGGGCUUGAUGGAAUCUUUCCGCAACAGCUUGGAUGCGUUCCCCAUACACGACCUUUCCGGUCUCAAGGUCCAGUGAGCCUCCGUGAGCGAAAAACCAGUGCUUCGCGCGCUCAGGCCACUCGAGGGAUUCGUGCACCAACCCCCUGCCGAUUAACUCUUUUUCGGCCUUUUCCCACUUAGGAACUGCGGUUUGGUAGCCACCUGAUCCCAUCGUGUGGUUGUAGGUCUUGCGUCGGGCAUUCUCUUGGUUCUUUCUCACCCGUUCCUGAGCCUCUUCGGACAUCUUGAACCGUACAAAGUCAUCCCAAAACGGCCGUAGCUUCGCAUAGUUCGGAGAGUUGAAAUCUGGAGUCAUGUUUUUCUUGAUGUAGUCUUGAUAUAGACGCUUCUUAUAGCCCUGGAACAUUGGUGCCAUCUUCUUCAUAGACCAAUCUCGGACUCUUUCCUUCAACUGUUCAUCGUUUGUCUCUAGUGUAAAAUGUUGCAAGACAUCACCCCAGAGUAGCUCCUUGUCACGUAUAGAGACAUAACUGAUUUCUGGGUGUUUCUUGUUCUCCUUCCAUUCACGGACACUGAUUGGGAUCCUAUCCUGGACAAGGUACCCUAAGUGGUUCACGAAGGCCCUUGAAUGGGGUCCAAGUGGCUUGCAGGUUGCUUCCUCGAAUUCUGAGAUUACUAACCGGCCCUCCAUAGGCUUCUUUGGGCCUCGUACUCUCCGGCUGGUCCCCGUGGUUGUCGUCGAGCCAGAGGGCUAUGUAGAAAGAAAAAAGACAAUUUAAUACAAGGUAUUAUUUCGAAUUAUAUCUGUAAAAACAAAGGAGACUGCCAUAUUAUAGACAUGCUGGCCAGCAUUGUCUUGCUCAUUCGGGUCGACCAAAUACUGAGAGCAGUCAUCGAUUCCCUCAGGGUUCUCAUCGCCUUCACGAUCAUCGUGAUAAACUUCUUCAGUGGGACCGCAGAUCAGGUUCAUCAUUUCCUCUUCGUGUUCUCUCGGAUCGGCCAUUUCUGCUGAAAUAUGUGACACAUCACUACUAGCACUACUGUGUAUACUUGACAAGGAAACAAUAUAUAAAACUAGGGUUUAGGGUUUAGGGUUUAUGGGUUAGGGUUUAGGGUUUGAAGGGCUUAGGGCUUAGGGCUUAGAACAUCACUAAAUACAACACAGAACACUAUAUGUAUACUAUGUGAACAUUGCUAAAAUAUGUUAUAGAACAUCAAAUAUAUAUUACGUGAAAAAAACUAAAUACACCAUAGAACAUCACUAAUUACAUUAAAGAACAUCGUAUAUAUAUUACGUGAAAAUAAAUAAGAAAUUGGUACUAUAAUAUACAUGAAAAUAAAUAAAUAUAUAUGAAUUUGAGCAGAGGCAAUAUUCUAGAUUUAUAAGAAAUUGGUGACACAUGACUACUAGCACUACUGUGUAUACCUGACAAGGAAACAAUAUAUAAAUCUAGGGUUUACAACUUAGGGUUUUCCGCAACAGUUUACGGCUAAGGGUUUGGGGUUUACGACUUAGGUUUCAAGGUUUAGGGUUUACGGCUUAGGGUUUACAUCAUUUGCUAACAAAAGUGGCAUGAUCUGAACCGGUCACAAAUAAGUGAGAGAGAGAGAGUAUAUGUGUUUAGGGCUUAGUGUUUAGGGUUUAGGGUUUAGGGGUUAGGGUUCAGGGGUUAGGGUUUAGGGUUUAGGGUUUAGGGGUCAGGGGUUAGGGUUUAGGGUUUAGGGCUUAGGGCUUAGGGCUUAGGUUUAGGGUUUAGUAUAUAUCAUUUGCUAAUAAUUAAAUAUAUCAUAAUUAUACCACUAAUUUAAACCACUAAUUGUACCACUAAUUAUAGCACUAAUAAUUGUACCACUAAUAGAUCCAUCUCGACAUUCCUGUAUUUUGAAGGUGGUGAGACGGCGGAGAGACGGCGGUCGGUGCGGAGACUCGACGGGGACUUCGGUGACGACGGCAGAGAGACGUCGAUCUGGAAGAAGGAAGAAAUAGGGAACAAAUAUUAUAUCACAUUUACAUAUUGUGGCACAUGCCUGAAGCACUAAAUAUGGAAAAAAACAAAAACUAGUUGCAUAGUUUGUCCGUAAUUUACAAGACAAAUCUUUUGAGUUUAGUUAGUUUAUAAUUGGACAAUAUUUGCUACAAACAAAUGAAAAUGCUACAGUACCAAAAUCCAAAAUCUUUUCGGAACUAAACAAGGCAUAUGUGAAAUAUCUAAGUCGCUAAACGAAAAUGCAUGGAGUAUUAAAUAUAGAUGAAAUAUAAACUUAUUGCACAAUUUGGUCGGAAUUGACGAUACGAAUCUUUUGAGUCUUCCAUGAUUGGACAAUAUUUGUCAAAUACAAACGAAAAUGCUAGUGUCAAAUACAAACAAAAAUGCUAUAGUGUGAAAUACAAAAUUUUUUGGAACUAAACAAGGCCUAAUUAUUGCUCUCUGUAUUUUCAUUUUUUUUUCAUAUUUUUUUAGGGCGAGGCGGCGGCGCGCGGGGGGGCGGGCUCGGCCGCCGGUGGGGGGGCGCGUGGCCGCGCUGCCGACGGCGUACGGCCCGCGCCACUCACCCCCGCCGGCGGGCGUUGUCGUCGGGCGCAGAGGGCUUGGCCGCGCGUGGCUGCAGCGGGCCGGCGAGCGCGCUCUGGGUCGAUCACGGGGCGGCUGGCGCGCGCGAGAGAGAAAAAGAGAGAGGGAGUAGUGGCGGCGGGGGCGCGGCGUACGACGGAGGUUGGCUCGGGGCGGCGCGAUGGCGCUCGGAGCGGCGGCAACGACGUCGUGGACGAAGAGAAGACAACGGCGACGGUUAGGGCUAGAUCGGGCGNNNNNNNNNNNNNNNNNNNNNNNNNNNNNNNNNNNNNNNNNNNNNNNNNNNNNNNNNNNNNNNNNNNNNNNNNNNNNNNNNNNNNNNNNNNNNNNNNNNNAGCCCCUUCAGUCCCGGGCGGUGGCACGGCCCGGGGCUAAAGGCGUUUCACCAAAUUAUGGCGCCAGUUCAAGCGCCAUAAUUUGGUUUUCCCUUUUUUAUUUUCCUUUUACAUUGUUAAAUGCAUUAUAAAUUAAUAAAUAAAUCUGAUAAAAUUGUUAAAAAAUACACAUUAAUUUUAUUGUGCUCUACUCUUGUGUAUAAAAAUUCUUAACACAAUUGCUUUUUAAAUAUUUCAUAUUAUUCAAAAUAAAUGUUAUUCAUAAUGAAUAUUGUGUUAAUGCAAAAAUAUAAUGGCCAAUUAAAUUUUAAAAAAAUUGUUGGCUUUAGACAGAUACUUUGUUUUUGGGUCAUUUGGACGUUAAACUUUUGUUUCUUUAGUAAUAAUUAUACAAAUGCGCUACAUUGAUUGUAUAAUUUUGAAAUUUAAAUUUUCAAAAGUUGUAAGAUGUAUUUUGGAACCCUGGAUUGUCUCAAAUGGAAAAUUCAUGAAUACAAAGUUUGUUCCACUCAUCAAGACCUACAUUUUCUCUAAUGGUCACAUUUUCAUUUGAAAAAGUUUAGACCACUCAAUUUUGAAAUUAGAAAGAAUUCAUAGCGAACGCUAAUUUUUAGAACCAUGGAUGGCCUCAAAUGAAAAACUCAUGAAUACAAAUAUUGCUCCACUCAUCAAGAUCUACAUUUCAUAUAUAGACCAUUUUUGCAUUUGACAAAGUGUUGGCAAAGUGUAGUUCAAAAUCCACACUUCCCACGUAUAGUUUCAUAAAGUUUGUGUGAGAUUCAAGAUUUGGUGAGUAUUGUUUAUAUAAAAUUUCCCAAAUGGAAAAAUGGUCUAUAUAAAAAGUUUGGAUAUUGAUGAGCUCUAACAACUUGGUAUUCAAAAGAUUACCAUUCCAAGUCAUUUUCUCUGUCGUUUUACCAAAGCCCUUCUUUGAAUUUGAAAACAUGUGCCUCGGACUCAAUCAAAUUUAUCCGGAUGAAAAUAUGAUCCAUAUAUGAAAUGUAGGUUUUGAUGAGACCUAACAACUUGGUAUUCAAAAGUUUUCCAUUUGAAGUACUCAGGUGGGUCAUUUGACCAAGUUUGACCAAAGUCGAAAUAGUGGGUUUCACAAACACACACUUUGACCGAGCCCUGGAUGGCCUCAAAUAGAAAACUCAUGAAUACAAAGUUUCUUCCACUCAUCAAGACCUACAUUUCCUCUAGUGGUCACAUUUUCAUUUGAAAAAGUUUAGACCACUCAAUUUUGAAAUUUGAAAGAAUUCAUAGCGAAACGCUAAUUUUCAGAACCAUGGAUGGCCUCAAAUGGAAAACUCAUGAAUACCAAUAUUGCUCUACUCAUCAAGAUCUACAUUUCAUAUAUAGACCAUUUUUGCAUUUGACAAAGUGCUGGCAAAGUGUAGUUCAAAAUCUAUUUGAAGUACUCAGAUGGGUCACUUGACCAAGUUUGACCAAACUCAUGAAUACCAAUAGUUCAAAAUCCACAUCAAGAUGUUAUAAUUAUAUUACACCUAAUGUUACAAUUAUAUUACACAAGAUUUCAAGUACAAAUUACUACCAUUAUCAAGCUAGCACAGUGGUAAACUUUUUCUUAACAUAAUGCCCUUGGUUAUGAUCAUUCCGUAACCAUGGAGUGUCCUCUGCAGUGAGCAUGAUGCUUGGGUCUUUGGCCACACAGAAGGGUGGGAUCCGUUCAUCCUUUUCAUAAUCCUCUGACACAUCUGACUUGUCUUCAAUUCCCACGAUGUUUCUUUUCCCUGUAAGAACGAUGUGUCGCUUUGGCUCGUUGGUGUUUUUCUCGUCUUGUUUCCCUCUCUUAGGUUUUGUAGACAUGUCUUUCACAUAGAACACCUGAUUCACCUUAGUACCGAGGACGAAUGGAUCGUUUGUAUAUCCAAUAUUGUUGAGGUCCACUGUUGUCAUUCCGUACUCCUUAUCGACUGAUACCCCUCCUUUCAUCUUCACCCAUUGGCAUCAGAAUAAAGGUACUUUAAAAUUAUGUGCAUAGUCUAGUUCCCAAAUCUCCUCUAUACGACCAUAAUAUGUGUGCCUGUCCCCAUUCGUGUCCUUGGCAUCCACACGGACACCACUGUUUUGGUUGGUACUCUUUUUAUCUUGUGAUACGGUGUAAAAUGUAUUUCCAUUUAUCUCGUACCCUUUGUAUGUGAGGACGUGCCACGCUGGUUGCCUAGCCAACAAAUAAAGUUCAUCUCCAAUAUCUUUAUCACCCUGGCAUUUUUUUCGCAACCAGUCACCGAAUGUUUCCAUGUGAUGACGCGUAACCCAAGUCUCAUUCUUUCCAGGAUUCUCGGAUCGUACAAAAUCCAUGUGUUCCUUAAUAUAUGGUUCCACCACAAUGGAGUUUCGAAGGACUGUGUAGUGCGCUUUAUUGAAUAAAUCAUCACCCUGGCUGAUAUAUGUUUUCUUUCCUAGUGUACCCUUUCCACCGAGUCUCCCCUCAUACCUUGAUUAAGGAAGACCAAUCGGGUCAAGAUCAGGAAUAAAGUCCACACAGAACUCAAUGACCUCCUCUGUCCCGUAUCCCUUGAUGAUGCUUCCUUCUGGCCGACCCCGCUGGUGAACAUAUAUUUUCAGUACACCCAUAAAUCUCUCUAAGGGAAACAUGUUGUGUAGGAAGACAGGACCCAGAAUAUGAACCUCUUUGACCAGAUGAACUAGGAGAUGUGUCAUGAUAUCAAAGAAAGAUGGAGGAAACACCAACUCAAAGCUGACAAGACAUUGAACCACAUCGUUCUGUAGAGUAGCUAGAUCAAGAGGAUUGAUUGCCUUCUGAGGAAUUGCAUUGAGGAAUGCACACAACUUCACGGUGGCUAGACGUACAUGUGGAGGUAGAAUUCCUCUUAAGGCAACCGGAAGCAGUUGUGUCAUAAUCACGUGGCAGUCGUGCGAUUUUAAGUUGACAAUUUUUUUCUCUGGCACAUUUAUUAUACGCUUUAUGUUGGAGGAGAACCCAGAUGGGACCAUGAUGCUACUUAGGCACUCAAACAUGAUUUCCUUCUCCUCAUUGCUAAGAGUGUAGCUAGCAGGUCUUAAAUACUGACGUCCAUCAUCUGUCUGCUCUGGAUGCAGGUUGUCUCGUUCUUUCAUGCGCUGUAAGUCCUCUCGAGCCUCAAGGGUAUUCUUAGGCUUUCCAAACACACCCAUAAACCCUAGGAUAUGGACACAAAGAUUCAUCGUCAGGUGCAUCACGUCGAUGGAGUGGCGGACCUCAAGGUGUUUCCAAAUGGUAGCUUCCAAAAUAUUGACUUUUUCUUCCACAUUGGGGCACGCCCCGAAGCGUCUUUGGGAACAGGUUUGCUGCCUUCUCCCUUUCCAAACACUACUUUCAAAUCUUUGACCAUCUCGAAUACCUCUGCCCCAUCUCGGUUGCUUGGCUUGGACCGGUGUUUUGCCGUACCUUUAAAAUGUUUGCCUUUCUUUCUCAACUGGUGGUUCUUAGCAAGAAAUCGACGAUGGCCAAGGUACACGACCUUUCGGCAUUUUUUCAAAUAGAUAGCUUGAAGGUCACCAAAGCAAUGGGUGCAAGCAUUAUAUCCCUUGUUUGUCUGUCCUGAAAGAUUGCUUAGAGCUGGCCAAUCAUUGAUGGUCACGAACAACAAUGCUCGUAGGUCGAAUGCUUCCUGUUUGUACUCAUCCCACAUACGCACACCUGGUUUGCUCCAUAGAAGCUGGAGUUCCUCAACCAAUGGCCUCAGGUAAACAUCGAUGUCGUUGCUAGGUUGCUUCGGACCUUGGAUGAGCACCGGCAUCAUAAUGAACUUCCGCUUCAUGCAUAACCAUGGAGGAAGGUUGUAGAUACAUAGAGUAACGGUCCAAGUGCUAUGACUAGAGCUCUGGUCCCCAAAAGGAUUAAAUCCAUCCGUACUCAAUGCGAACCUUAGGUUUCUUGCGUCCUCUGCAAAUUCUGGGAAUUCUCUAUCGAUUCCUCUCCACUGAGAACCAUCUGCAGGGUAUCUCAACAUGUUGUCCACCUUACGGUCUUCUUUGUGCCAUCGCAACAACUUUGCAUGCUCCUUAUUUCUGAACAAACGCUUUAGGCGUGGAAUUAUUGGAGCAUACCACAUAACCUUGGCAGGGAUUCUCUUCCUCGGACGUUCUUCAUCCUCAACAUCGCCAGGGUCAUCUCGCAAGAUCUUGUACCGUGACGCAUGGCAAACAGGGCAUUCAUCUAAUUUCUCGUGCUCGCCACGGUACAGGAUGCAGUCAUUAGGGCAUGCAUGUAUCUUCUCGAUUUGUAAACCCAAAGGGCAGACAAUCUUUUUGCCUUCGUAUGUAGUGGUGGGUAACUCAUUAGGCUUCAGAAGCAUCUUUUUUUGGAUCUUCAGUAAUUUUCCAAAUGUCUUGUCAGAUAUACCAUUCUCUGCCUUCCACUGUAACAACUCCAGUGUCAUUCCUAGCUUUUUCUGUCCCUCUUCGGCCGACAGGUAGAGUAGCUUCUUGUGAUCCUCUAGCAUUUGGUCAAAUUUAGCCUUCUCCUUUGCACUUUCGCAAUCUCUCUGUACGUCGCGAAUGACAUCACCAAGAGCAUCGUCAUCAUCAACGAUACUGUUUCCUGCAUCCCCGUCUUCAUCACCUUCGUCCUCUACUGCGAAGUCGCAGUAUUGUGCAAAAACAUCAUCAGGGUACGCUUGCUCUUCUUCACCUUCUUCCAUCAUAACCCCGGACUCUCCGUGUUUGGUGUAACAAAUAUAGUUUGGCAUGAAACCAUUCGUGAACAAGUGCAAGUGAAUUUCUCUUGAGUUUGAAAAUUCCUUCAAGUUCUUACAAACGGCACAUGGGCAGCACAUAAAACCAUCCCGCUUAUUUUGCUCCGCCACUCUGCGGAAUUCUCGCACGCCCUCAAUGAACUCGUUGGAGCGGCGAUCAGCAUUGUACAUCCAAUGGCGUGCCAUUAUCUGCAUUAUCAUGGAAUUGUAAUUUUUCUAUUAAAAGCUAUAAUUUUAUCAGUAAAGAAAAUUAAUUUCAAGAAUUUUUAAAGUGAAAAACAAUUUAUUUAACAAUUACAACAAAAAUUAUAUUAUUAAUAUUUUAAAAUAAGAACAUGAACAUAUUAAAGUAGAAAAUAUCCUAUAAUAUCUAUAAUAGAACUUAACAUGAUUCGUGUAUACAUAGUAGUAAUGAUUUGUGUAUACUAGUUUUUAGCGGGCACACACUUAGCAUCGUUCAAAAAAAUUCAAACAUGAGAAGACGAUGAUUGGAGAGAUGGCAACAUGAAAUAAUCAAAAUAGACAUGUGUCCAAUAUGAAAUUACAUAUGGCGGUGAGAAACAUAGGAGGAUGAAGCUAGCAACCUUUCAAACAAAUCGACGACGGCGUAGAAGCGUUGAAAUGGAUCGAUCGCGGGAGAUGAGAGCAAUAAUAAGGAAGAACAAUGGAAGAACAAGCAAGAACAAAGGAGCUCGGGCUCGGGCAGGGAGAGGAAGAAGGGAGGAGGGAGAUUCAAUUUAUAGCGGGGAGGGUUUAGUCCCGGUUGGUGUUGCCAACCGGGACUAAAAACCUACCUUAAGCCCCGGUUGGUGCCAAAGACCGGGACAAAAGGUUUAGUCCUGGUUAGUGGUAUAAACCGGGGCUAAAGGUAGGUCUUUAGUCCCGGUUCGUAACACACACCGGGACUAAAGGUCUCUCCCCGACAGCGCCUGACACCGGAGCCGUUGGGGAGGGACCGUUAGUCCCGGUUGGCUUCACCAACCGGGACUAAAGAUCUCUUUUGUCCCGGGUGCCAAAAAUGUUGGGACUAAAGGUCAUUUGGCACAUCGACGAAAGGUCUGUUGUCUAGUAGUGUCCACUAAUUUUUAGCGUGUGCAUUUAUAUAUAGGGUCAAUGAUGCUAUCUUUAGAAUGAAACAUGUUGGCAUUAAACUUGUACUGAUUAAAUCACAAAGUGCAACAUUGAUAGACUUUCUUCUUCGGCUCCAAACACGAAAAUAUAUAUUAGGUGUAAAUAUAUCAUAAUUAAAAAAACAAAAAUAAGAAUAAAAAACAUCAUAACUGUGGAACAGACUUUGGAAUAAUAAAAUAAAACCAAGCAGGUGCACAACAGAGGAACAUGUCGGGCAUAUAAAAAAACAUGUGGACAAAACACAUUAGGGACGCGAGGGCAAGGUUGUGCACUUUGUGUAAAAUUACCAAACCCAUAAGUCCUUUGUAUUAUCGGUUAUGAAAUUUACAUCAAGUUAGAGGGAUUUGUGUAAAAAUCCCAAUGGUCUUAUCAACACACGCAAUGCUCCAGUGCUGUUUCGCUCCUCACGUUGUCGCCAUAGCCUACUGGCCAUAUCCUGUCUCCGUUUGCAUCCCACCUCCAAAAAAAAUUCCCAUCCCCAAUCACAACUUCUCAUUGCCGCAGUUCCAGCAGCCGCCGCCACCUAUCUUUCCUCUCCCUUCUUCUCCCCUGCAUGGAGGACCACACCAAUGCUCAUCUCCAACCAAGCUUGCCACCCCACCGCUUGGCCAUGCCUUCAGAUCCGCGACCCCGCUGACAUCCCAUUGUUUGUGCCUUAUGAUAUCGUCAUGCAGACACACCACCGAAGAGCCGAGCUCCAACCUCUGACCUCCAUGAAGCCAUUGCCACGGUUUAUAAUGACUCCAAGCACCGUCUGCAAUGACUUUGGAUGUGCCCAUGAUACCACGCCAUCUUCCACAGCCUCGCAUGCCCGAGCGCUGCCGCAGACCUCUCGAGGAGGUGUGCUGAACCUUGCAACCGGAAACCUACCUCCUUGCCGUCGUGCUCCACCACUAGCAGUGCCACUUGGACUGUGACCUCACCGGACACCUACCGCCUCGCCGUCGUACUCCAGCUCUAACUGCGCCACCCAGAUUGUGACCAUGCCAGACUGAGCUCAGCCACUCUAAUUCUCUCAUUGACCUGACUCACCAAAUUGCGCCAUCGACGACCUCAUUGCGCCCCUGCCUCCACCUCGUCGGCGAUCUGGCUCACCAAGGCCGUUGGUGUGAGUGGAUUUAUUUGUUUGAUUUGAGGAGUUGUUACCUUAUUAAGAUAGUCUAAUUUGGAGUUGUAUCGUAUGUUGGACUCUCGACUUGUAUUCUUCUUGGGACAGGAGACAUGAGCAAGUUGAAACAGCUGAGACUCACUCGUGGGAAAGAGGAGGCCAGAUCAAACCAAAAAAUUGGCAGAAAUUUUGCCUCUUUAGGGAUAGAUAGAUAAGAUCCGAUACUUCCACUUUCCAUCAAUAUAUAUAGUGUCGGAUCAAGCAAAUUCGCAUUCGGGCACAAAAUCCGUCAUGCCAGAUCAAACUUAAGAAAAAUGCAAACAUAAUAUAUAUCCUGUUCUGGCAAACAUAAAGAUAAACUUAUUUUCACAAUGUAUUUCAGUGCCGUCUUAUACAGGCGUGGGCAUAGACAUAUAUAUCAAUGAAUAGAAAAUAGGUAAAUUUAAAAAGGGAUCAUCUUCCAAUGAUCUGUGGAGCAAUAAUCACCGUGCGUUCAAUGGAGAUUUGGCAAAAUAAAGACUCAGAGGCUGGAGUAUGUACCAAGCCUAAACACUGCAAUGCUUGCUUGGCCUGCUUUACCCGUCCGGCCGUAUGAAGGACUAACACCGGUUGCCAUGCCAGCCACCAGCAUGACACGGGGAUUACUAGGGAAAUCUGGCACCGUCACUGGUAGACAAAGCGGAAGGAGACAGUAAGCCCUUGGGCGGCUGAUACAUGGGCGAAACUGGGCCAUGCGACGCGAACCUGCAACGAGUGCUUGCCUGCGCCUUUAAUUUGCUGUUGCUGGGCAAUCAAAACAAAACAAAACAAAAAGAGAAGAGGGGUAUAGAAGUUUCUUGGGCGACGGUAUAGGUUUUCGCAUAUGAUUCUCAAAUCCAUAACCUAUGUAAGAAAAACAGCUACUAGGCGAUGCAAUAUAACUAUACUCAACAGGUCUAGCAAUCUUAAUGUAUGAAUUAAUGGUAACUGAGUAAGAUUUGACAGAUUAAAGAAGCAAUACUACUCAAAUGUUAUACUUUUGACUGGACGUAGAUUGAUAUCCCACCACCAGCGAACUUUCAGAGACACCCACGACGACCGAGCAACAGUUACAACAAAUCCAAAUGGAGCUGCAAAGGGCACAUCAGGAGAAGGACAGGCUCACACAAGCUGCCACGGCAAAUCAAACGGCAACCCCAGCUCACCAAAUUGUAGAAGCGAGGUAAAAACAAAUGCCCUGUGGUUAGUAACUGAAAGCCUUCGUCCAGCCAAGUAGCUAAGCACCAAAUCAUGAUAUAGAGGUCCAACUUAUUAACCCAUAAACCAGUCAACUAAAAGUUUUAAACCAUAGUACCAAACCAUCAUCUCGAUGGAUGACCCACAAGUAGACUGAAGUAUCAAGUGCAUCACAACAAAGUAUUAAGCCCAUGUACAUACCACGAGGCAAAGACCAACCAAAGUGUAUCUCUUUCUCAUGAGAUGAUCAGGACCACAACUGAUAAGCUAGGACAACGACAAUGGCUAGAAGGCAACACCUACUGCUCGCGAGGUGGAGACUGCUGGUGCAGCUGCUGCUGCUGAAACUGCGGUGGCAGGGGUGCCUUGUAGUAGUAUGAUGGUGGGUAGAUUGUUGAACUCGGCUUCAGGGAAGGCCCACCUGCAAAAUAAAUUUGCCAUGAGUAUAAUAUGGUUUUAAUUGUCUUGAUUCUCGAGGUCUGAAGGUAAAAAGAAAAGGAGAUAUAUACCUGAGGAGUACGAGCUUGAAGUAGAUGGGUAUCCCUGCUGGUAUGGCUGGAAAGACGGAGCCUGGGAAACACCUGCAAGGCACAAUUCAAGUCAGUCAAUAGUUAUUCAAAUUUAAAAGUCAGCAAAGGAAGAAAAGUGCCAAUGUUUGAUGACCGAAGACACGUCAUGGGAUUACCCAGGACGGUGUGGGCUUCGGUGUAUGCUAAACUCAAUGGUAAAUGCAAGAGACAAUGAUUUGUACUUGUUCAAGCUGCUGAGUAGCAUAAUACCCAAGUCUAGUUAGGUGUGGUGCCUUUGUGUUGGGUUGGUAUGAUUUGAUUGAUAUGUACCAGGGGUGUGCCCUGCAUCUCUUUAUAAAGACAUGCAUUGAUCUAUUCCUAGUCGUUUAUGACAGAAGAGUUCUAGUUCUAUUGCAGAAACUAACUUUACUAGUAAUCCGACUAGGUCGGUCCUUCAUGUCAUGGAGUACAUGACACCUUGUCUCAUGUCAUCAAGAGGACCAUGGGCCAGCCCAUGCCCCUAUUAGGUAGUUGACCCUGUAGGGAACCCCUAGGAUCCUUGUCCAUCAAGCGCUCGAGCAUUUUAUCGUUGAUCUUGGAAGUCUUCUUGAAUCACCAGGUCUUGCGGAGUAGCAACAAUUAGUAUCUGAGUUCCUUCUAAGAGUAGUUAUGAGGUGCCCUUCCAAUAAUCUUGGAAGUGUAGCCCCUUAGCCUCUUACUAUUUAGCAUACAGAGUUGGAGGGUCUUGUUUGCAAUUCCUUUUGAAGAAAUUUGGAUUCAUUCUUUGAGGAUAUGUAUCCCGUAGCCCUAGAGUCGAGAUCUAACUACUCGGUAGUUGAUUGUAGGGCCUUUGUAGACAUCCUCGAGGAUGCAGGCUAUAUGUAGUUAUUGAUAUCAGUGACCGUAAACCUAGAGAAAUAAUUUGAAUUGUGUACUAAAAUCACGCCCCUGAGCCAAGUUCUAGAGUCACAUGCAAAAUAGGACCUACUAUGUCAUUGACUGACCCGUAGUGUACUAUAGAGUCACAUGGGUGUAGAGAAUCUUGUCCUUUGUUACUAACACAACACAUGCAGUCCACAUGUGAAUCCUUAUCUCAACCCACAAUGGACUUGUGAACCCAAUUCAGGGUAUGUGUAUAUCAUGCUAUAAAUAUCCCCUAACGAGUUGUAUCCACUACACCAGCAAUUGUAGUGUUGUAAGACUUAGGUAAUAGUUCUUCAAAUAUGAUAGUGGCUGAGAUGUUGGAGCCCUAAAAGUAGCCAGCUAUGCUUGUAAUCUGCUUUCAACUAGAAGGAUUCUUAUGAUAGGGACUAGGAGUAGGUUAGUCCCACGGAGAAUAGAAUGGCAUGUGGCUAUAGCUAGAAGAAUGCUUGUGACAUAUGGAUGGUACCAUGUCUAGCAGUUCCAUGCAUGUGUAGUUCAAUGUCUGUCCAUUGUCGAUCAGCUACGUGGCUCGAGUGAGCCUAGUCAUCCGGCUUGGGUAGACAGAUGCUGGGAGGAAGCGUUGUUGUCGACUUAGUUAGCUACCCUAGACCAAUAGGCGAGGUAAAUAGAGAUGAAGAUGCAAGUAAAAAGCACCCCCUGAGUCUAGACCUAGCCAUGAGGUAAGGCAAGGUGACUCUGAAGAUGGCCUGCUAUAGUAGGACUUCAAGAAUGGGUAAGGAAAAUUUUUGAGUAACUGCAUAAGUUGUUGGUCAGCGCUUGAUCUUGUUCAAUGUAUUGUCUAUUGCAGGUCGCAUCUAAAAAGCUCCAAGAGAGGAAGAAAACCAUCUCAGCAAAAUAGUAAGUGUAUUUCCACAAAGCUUCUGUGACUAUGCUAUUAUCGAGUUUUUAAUGGUAGCUGCCUUGUAGGAUGCUACCGCCAGGACAACACAGUUGAUUGACAUCCAAUCUAGGGACUAGUGGUGCAUCUAUGGUAGGUUCUAGAGCUAAUGUGUUUACGGAUGAUGUCUCCUUAAUGACGUAGGUGUUGGGUGCUACCUUCACCCAGACACCUAGUAUGAAAAGGUUGAAGACUCUAAGUUUCAAGAAGAAAGUGUCGUUUCGAUAAGUUGAUUGUGCCUUUUGAUGUUAUUUGUGGUUAAUCAUGCCCAAAACCGAGUCAAGUGCUUAUCUCUAAUAGAACUAUGCGAGAGCCACUAUGGGCACCAUCUCCACUGCCCCUAGAGGAGCCAUCUCUCUACACUACUAGUGUAAGUAGCGUAGGUGGCAAGCCUAGCAUCACAACCACAAUGAGCCACACCUUGCUAGAGAUGGUAGUGCCAGUCUUCUCAUUCGGUGUUGGGUACAAGGAUGACUAAGAGAGCAUGCACCAUUUGUAAAUGUUGUGCUUGCUGCAAGCAAGGCAUUUGAUAGUGCUCAUAAGUUGAGGCACGUAGUAAGAGGAUUAUAGAGAAGGAAGCCCCAAACUUUGAAGAUACCCAACCUUGAAAGCCACACACUCCAUUAUAUUUGUCUUUAUGUGGUUGUUAAUGUUUAGUUCAUAAGUUGUAGACAAUGCCCUUGUGUACUCGUACCACAUCUGAUCAUGUCCUUCUCAAAAUAGAAAUCUCCACUACUACCCCAAAAUCCAUCUUUUACCGUUUUGGAAAUUCUUUGACGCAACACCCUUUCUUCAUUGAUUCCAUCAUUAAGGCCUAGCACUUUCCUCACCUCCUACCCACCCCAUGCUGCUAUUAUCUAUUGACUUAAGCGCACAAGGGCGGCUACCAAAGGAUGGCUAAAAUACUAUGGUUCUUGCUCCCAGUGGGAGAAUGAUUGCAAACUUGACCUCCGCUUACUUGAUGCCAUGGAAGAAAUCUGCCUACUUACCACAUAUGAACUCUUUCCUUGAUCUGUUGUAGUGAAGCCCUAGCUCGUACUUUUAAAGAAAGCUCCUCCAUUGGAAGAAAAGGACAAAAGUGUGCGCCAAGCUUGAGUGUGAUUAAAACACCAAAUAUUUACAUGCUUGUGCCACUCAGUGCCUAUGGAGGAAUAAUAUUCUGGACCUUGAGCAUGAUGGAUGUGUGGUCACUAUGCAUAUAUAGAAAGUGCAAAAUCUUCUCAACUUCUUCACAUACCUCCUUGGCACCGCAUGCACACCUGUUUGGCACUUCAAUUUGAAUUUCAUUUACACCAGCAUGCCCUAUUCACCCUUUUUUUUAUAUCUCCUUUGACAUUUUGCAAAUGCACCCCAACUAGCCUAGGACUCGAUGAUUAUCAGCCAUCCUUCUAGAAGUUUGUUGAGCAUGUCUCUCCCACCAUUUUUUCUCUCUUACAGUGGGCUUUCCACUCCCAUAGUGCUGAGCUAGAACAUAUCAAUCACUCAUUCAUUAUUCUCAUUCCAAAGAAAGACUAUGUUCGUACACCUUCUGAUUUUAGUCCCAUCUCUCUACUACAUCAUCAAAGCCAUAUCCAAUGUCCUAACCAUCUUCUUAUAGCCGCUCAUUCGCUUGCUCAUAAGCAAGGAUUUGUAAGAGACAUUGGAAUGAUUGAUUGUAUUCCAUGUAUUGUAUAGAGGUACAUAUAGGCAGCUAGGGUGUCAAGCAAGCCAACUGCAUAGGCGCAAGAUUACAAUCACAAUUAAGAGAGAACUUAAUAUAAUUACAUUAUGCUAUCAAUCCCUCAUAGUUUGAUUGGGAGCAUGUGAAUGUUUAGGCUGGAUCAAAACUCUUGAAACACAGAGGUGGGAGGCCUUUGGUGAAGACGUCGGCAUACUAGGAUGUCAUAGGGACAUAAAGGACCUGAACCUAGCCAAGGGCGACUCACUCCUGAACAAAAUGGAGAUAAAUCUGAAUGUGCUUCAGGCGUUGAUGCUGGACUAGGUUGGUGGAGAGAUGAACUACACUGUCACGGUAGACCAAUGUGGCGUGAUGAGGUAGGUGGCAAAGCGCCAUGAGUAACUAGCGUAGCCAAGAAGCUUUAACAACACCAUUUUGCAUGGCUUGAUACUUGGCCCCUGCACUCAACCGGGAGACUGUAUGUUGUCCAUGGUGAUCGCAGUGGCCCCUUGCACCUGCUACUGGUGCCCCACUGAGAUGUUACCUGUCCCUCACGCAUCCAUGGGUGGUUACCAUCCAGAUACGACUGUAUGAUAGGUCUAGCCGCAUCUGCCAUGCUAGUGUUGGGUGUGGACGGGACAUCAAGAGGCCAUGCGGAGGGAGGUGUGGAAAACAACUAGGCAGAGGGCAAUGAUAGUGGUCUUGCCUCAUGCUCGAUCUCCUCUAGCAGGAGAUGAGUUUGAGCCUCCACAAACUUCAAGAACAGGCAAUGCAUCUUGAGGAUGGACACCAUGUGGUGGAACUAAAUGUUCAAGCCAUGGAGGAGCAUGAUGACCAUCAACUGAUUGAGUCAUCAAACUCGAUGAGGGAGGUGGCCAUGGACUCGAGGCGACGACAAUAGUCGGUGAUGUUCAUGGAGCCUAGAUGGAAGUUGCAAAAUUGUCUCUCAAGGUGGAGCACAUGGGACUCAUGUUGGCUGAGGAACUCAUCCUUGAGAUAGCACCAGGCUCCAUGAGUAGAGAUCUAUCGCAGCAUCAGUGGUUGUUGCAGGUCAUUAGAGACGGUGCCAUAAAUUCACGUCAAGGUGGUGCAGUCUGUUUGCACCCACGCUAGGCAUGAGGGGAAGGACUCUCCUCAAGAACAAGGUGAGUUAGGGCAUAUUUGCUAGGACGAUGAGGAACAGGCCACACCACUUGUUGUAGUUGUUGGUGGCCUAGUCGAGUGAGAUGGGGAUCAAGACAUGGAUGUUGACAAUGGUGGUGCCCUGCUCCUAGAGAUCCUCAUGGGUGGACUCAUACAUGUCCAUGGUAGCGGCCGGAGGCAAGCCUCCUUGACCGAAUGGGCCUCCUUGGCGUGACAAGUGGCCUUGAUCUGCUCAGCGCAACAAUGGUAUUUAGCCUCCUAGGGAGACAUGGCCAUGGCAGCAUCAUCAUCAUCUAGCAUCAGCAAAGGAAGGGCAACACAUCAAACCGGUGGUUGCAGGAGCACUAGCAAUUGGAUCGGUCAUGACGUUGGAGUCAGAGACGAGGCAGGGCGAUUAGAUCGGUGGCAAGCUUUGGUGCGGAAGUGUAGCAGAUUGUAACACGAAUGAUACCAUGUAAGAGUGAUUGGAACAAUUGAUUAGAUUUCAUAUCUUGUACAGAGGUACAUAAAGGCAGCCAGGGUGGCAUGCAAGCCAACUGCAUAAGCACGAGAUUAUAGACUUAAUUAAGGGAGAACCUACUAUAAUUACAUUAUGCUAACAUGAUCAAUCUAGUGUUGAUCAUGUCAAUUCAACCACUGUUUCUCUAACUCCUGGUGUGCUUGGGUGCUCAAUCUUCUCACCUCUGAUAAUGAACAAUCUUCUCGGUGAUGGAUCAUGUGUAGGGAAACAAAGCUUCACCAAGGGGAUCCUAUAUCCUACCUCUUCAUCACAAUCGAUAUCACAGAGGUCAUUAGCAAGCGAGGCACAGGGGUGACAAGGGUCGAGGAUGGUGAUGGUGGUUGUGCCUUGUGCUCGAUCUCCUCCAGCAGGGGAUGAGUUUGAGCCUCCACAAACAUCAGAAAAUGGGCGAUGCAUCUUGAGGAUGGACACCAUGUGGUGGAAUUGACCGUUCAGGCCAUAGAGGAGCAUGAUGACCAUUGACUCAACACUGGUUGGGUCACCAAACUCGGCGAGGGAGGUGGCCAUGCACCCGAGGCGGCAGCAGUAGUUGGUGAUGUUCAUGGAGCCUUGAUGGAAGUUGCAAAAUUGUUUCUUGAGGAGGAGCAUGUGGGGCUAUCAGUGGCCAAGGAACUCAUCCUUGAGAUUGCACCAGGCACCACGAGUAGCUAGAGAUCUGUUGUAGCAUCAGCGACUGUUGCAGGUCAUUGGAGACAGUGUCGUAGAUUCACGUGAAGACGGUGCAGUCUUUCUGCACCCACGCCGAGCGUUUUUUUUCCUUGAGCAGCACGAAAUUCAUGCAAAUUCACUAGUCGGUCGAUGAAACACCGACAGGAUGGUAUCUAAGAGCUUGUAUCCAAUCACCCAUUUCUGAGACCACCUAGUUUCUUUCAAAAAAAGUAUGUACUAGAAUAUGAAUGAAAUUUAAAAUUCUAUGUUGGUCAUCACUAGGAUGAUACCUAAGAGAUUGUAUCCCAUCAGUACUGCAUUAUUCAGAUUUUAUGACCACAGGGAAUCACAUAUCCACAUACAUUCUAUGUUGGCCAUAGUUAAUCUUCUGUAGGGUUAUCCGGUAGUUAUGAAAGACCAUCAUAUUUUAUCUGAGAUGAUAAUAUAUUACUUACACCAAUGGGGUAAGAUAUUGCGGACAAUAUAUUAUUCUAUAUACAUGUGGAGUGAAGAAUGAAUGAAAUUUCAAAAUAGUUUAAGUGCAUACCAGAACACUUCUUAGCCGGAUCAGCUGGCUCCUGCAAGGACAAAUAAAUUAGAACAUAUGUAGUGUCAAUUAAUUUAACAACAGCAAAAGCUCUAAAGAUAGACACAUGGUAAUGCCAACAUAUAUAGUUCAAAGGAGUAAACUAUAUAUGGUAGGUUUAGUUUGUUCAGAGAACUUAUACCUUUUGUUUUUCCAACAGACAAUCAAGAUAAUUAAGAACUUGUUUUUUUGAGCGAAAUCUGCCAUGCGUCUUAUGCUUGUAUGUCUACAAAACAGAAACAUAUACAAUAGUUAAGAACAUGGAGUUGUCUAAAAAUAGUCUGACAACACUGGCUAAUAUGACCAUAGAAUAGUGGGCAUUGUUAUCACAUAAUGUUUUAAUCCCUCCACACAUGAUUAAUAAUAUUCCAUUAUUGGACCAUUAAAGGAGCAACUUAAUUAUUGUAUUCUCAUGUUUUGUAGUCAUAUAUUUUUCAAAUUUGUAUAUAUAUAAGCAGAAUAGAAAGAGUGGACAAAAUAUAUUCACAUGUAAUGUCUGUUUGUGGUAAUGAUAAAAUAGCUUGGUGAGACAAUUUCAAAAUUUAAACUUGUCGGUGCCUUUUUGAUAAUCAGACUACCUAGUAAAAUGACAUGGCUAAAACAUAACAUCAAUAAUUAUACCGGAGAUUUCAGUAAUAGGACCACAAUCACAGGGAACAAAUGUAAGUAAGAUUCACCAUGAAUGCAUCAUAGUAGAGGGUUUUCACAGUGAUUAGUCAAGACAAUGGAUGAAAACAAGAUAAAUAUGUGUAGCUCAGGAACACGAAGACACAAAGGAAUUGUGAAAAUUGGUUAGACCAAUAUGGUAGCAUCUUUGUUCCAAAUAGAAGUUACAAAAUAAAUGGAUACUGAAAGCAAGGAUUUAAAGUCCAGUUCUUUUGUCCUUAGGCACCAACUUCUUCCUUGGAGGCACAUAUCAUGGCUUCCAUCUUGCAUCUUGGGUUCUUUGUAAGCACCUAGUCCAUGCUGGAAUGGGUGAUGUCAGCAUCAGUGGUGUAACGCUCCUCCUUGUAGGCAUUACCUUAGAAUUGGCAGGAUAUCUCAGUUUUGUUAUAGCUGUGGGCAAUGGUCUUUUGUCUAUCAAGUGGCGGCAUGUUGGUUUCAUGGUCAUAGUUUCAAUCAACUGGCUGAUGGAGUGAUUUUUUUCAUAGGUUGGCUUUAGCUUUGAUUCUACUCUUUUUAUUAUUUUUCUAGUGAUUGUAAUGUUUUAUUUCACAUGUAACUUUGGACAUAUGCAGGUAGUUGUAAUCAGUUUCAUCUAAUGCAUCCUAGGAAGAGGAGAAACCAAAAUUUCAUCCAUUGUCUAAAAAAAGAUUCAGGUUGUGCACACACCAAUCUGAAUAUGGAUAGAUCAAUCAGCAAAUUGUAUUUUGAUAGAUCCAAAGAAAAGGUUAUAUAGCCUGAUAAAUUCCAACAUAUAUGCCCAAAAUCAUUUCAAGAAUUGGAACAGGAUGGUAACUACUAAUCAUAGACUAGAUGAGAUGGUGACAUUUUAGCAAUGGUGGUCGUUGCAUAUAGACUCGUUAAACAUGAACACAAAUCACUCUAAGCUCUGUUAAAAUUAAAUACCUACAUAAGAGAAUAGGCCAGGGAUGAUGCUAGUUUUGUGGAGGUAAUUUUUUAGAUAAAGUUGAUGGCAUGGAGGCUAGGGUGCUUGUGCUAUCAUAACUAGCAUGUGGAAGGUGACCAUCAGGGCAAAGUCGAAGCUGCACCACUGACAUUCAGAGUUAACUGCAAAGGGAUAUAUGUAGUAGGUGAUGCAUGGGUGGAGUUCCUUAGAGGUCUCAGUUUUUGGGAUAAUAAGUGCACUGGAGUUACAUUGGUUGAUUGGCAGUGAUGAAUAAGGUUGGAUUAUUGUAUGGCGGAAACUGAUUUGAUGUUAUAUAGGCAGGAACAACACAUUCUCAAUGCUGAAAAAAGAGACUGAGAACCUUUCUUUUCUCUCCAUAUGAACAAGAUAAAUUGGUUGACCACUCUUAAGUGGCAGGAAUUAAUUAUAUGUGCCUCUUAGCAGGAGAAACAUAUUAGUUUUUCAGGCAUUUGAUGAAGUAUGAACAUAUUUAGUUGAUACCAUCAUCAAUCAUGCUUUGCUGAUUGUUAGAAUAUAGUGAUAAUUUAAAUCUGACUCAGCAAACAAGAUAUCAGAAAGACCAAUGACAUUAGAUUAUUAUAAUCCUACCUUUGGUUUUUUUCCAUUGUCAAGUUGAUUUGUUGGUGGACCUCAUGUGAACACGAAAAGAUAUAUUUUUGUUUAUAGAAUCUAGCAAACUUGAAUCAGCAAUGACCUGGGGCGCAGCUUUUGAGUGUAUAUUACUAGAUUUUACAGUGAAGCAAGUUACAUCCUGGUAACAAAUAAUAUAUAGUUACUAGACAAUAAAUUUCAUAUAAACUUUUGGAAGUGUCAAAUAUGAUGAUGUUACUAAAUCAAUGUUGAGUAAAUAAUUCCAUAAUUACAAAAACAAAUUAUAAUAACCCCACAUUCCAUUUGGAGACAUUCAGAAAUAAAUCAUUUCUUUUGUACACUAGUAGGUAAGGAGAGAUGACAUAAAACAUCAAACAAAUAUCAAAACAUCGAAAUUUUUUUAUAUAAAACAGAAAUUGAUAGUAUAAUGAAAAAACUAAGGAAGGAAUGAGUCAUUACUAAAUCAACCCUUCCAUCUUCCCUGCAGCUGCGGAGAACCUUGCAUCCACCAUGAUAUGCUGGAUGCAACAGAAUUUGUCUUGGCGUGCAGACAACAUGUUCCCCCAUAUCCGCUGUAGUCAAGGGCUCAAUAUCGAGUGGUGUAUCACUUGCAUUCAUGUUUUGUACAACACAUGACAAAUGAGAAGGAUAUAACAGAAAUAAAAAAGCUGAACAAGUGCGAUAUAUACUACUACACCAUAUGAGAGGUUUUUUUAGACAACUUGAAAACUCCUGUGCCUCAUAUAGUAUUAUCAGAAAUUAUGUGUAUCUAUUUACAAGUGUUCCGUCCCAUAUUUCAUAGAGUAUCAUCCAUUUAAUAAACUCAUGGAUGCUACAACUGGAGUUCUGUUGUGUAUAGAUAAACAUGACAAGUGUAUGGUAAUUUCUAGAAAAGUUCCAAAUGUUGGAUUUACGGUGUUGCAGGUGCCAAAAAUGUUAGGCUACUUAUGUAAUUUUGGUGCUCAGAGGACGACACUCCAUCUAGUAAGUCAACAUUGUUGGGGGCAGUUGUGCAUUUUUGGGUGGUCAUUCCUUGGCUGUAUCCUUAAAUGAAAUGUCUGCCUCUGAAAUUUAGCAUUUAUUUUGAGAGGCAACAACAUAUUUUGACCUCCUCUGCUAAUAGAAAGCUUUGUCUCCUAAAAUCAUUAUUGUAGUACCGAGGCCAUUGAUAGGGGUGGUUUUGUUGGGAAUGUGCCCUAGAGGUAAUCAUAGAGAUGAUGAUAUUACAAUUGUAUCCAUGACAUAUAUUAUGAGUUAGAUGAAUAUCCAUUAUAGACAAACUUGUAUUGAUUGACAAUUAUGUGAAUUGUUUGUGAAACUCUUUUACUUGUAUUGUUAUUCUAAAGUUGUCCCUGAUCAGAGUUCAUGUGAGGACACACAUGAAUUUACAUUAGCACAUGUAUUAGUUGAUGACUAUGUUUCACAAGUCAUAGACAUAGAGUUGUCAAACUAAUAAUGUGGGCACGUUUAUGACAUGGGGCUGGACUGACCCAACAUGAGAUGUUCUUAUUAUCUCUUUAUAUAUCAUGUACGUUAUGUCCUUUAUGUUCUCAAGAUGUGAAACGACCUACUUAGGGACUAUUAAACGCUACUCCGUAACAGGGUAGUUAUAAAGGUGGUCUUUGGGUUUGUCGGGAAACAUGUUGUGAGGCAUAGAUGAUCAAGAUGGAAUUUUCCCCUCUCUAUGUAAGAGAGAUAUCACUGGAUCACUCAAGUGAUUGGAUCAACAAAUGCAUGGCUGUGCUUGGGUUAAGUGUUAACCCACAAGUUGGACCAAAUAUCGUGUGGCAAGGGAAUAACAUGUAUGUGGAUGUAGUGGUUCGUCUGAUAUGAUCUUUGCGUGCAUAUAGGAGUUGUCACGCCUUGCUAGAGGCCGCUGUCAACUAUUGGGCGAGUAGGAGUACUCGGCCCAUGUCUAUAUGUAUGUGAACCCAUAGGGUCGCACGCUUAAGGGACUGGAAGCCUAAUUCGAGUUGGACCCGAAUUAGACAAGGCUUAGGGUUUUCUAAUUGGGCCUCUGAACUGGGGCUAAUUGGAGAAUGCCUAUAUAAGAGAGGAAGGGGGCGUGGCCAGGGUUAACUCACGCCAUUAGGCAGCCGCCGCCGCUCACCCACGCUCGCGCUAUUGCUCCUCGCGGACCUAGCAGUCCGGAGGCGCAACGCUUCUUUCCCGCACGUGUGGGAUACCUCGGAGGUGCUGCAUCUGGAGCACAAGUACGAACCACGGGAGAGGGAUUGGCGUGGUGGACGACCACGCAACUGCACGACACUGCUACUACGCGCACGACUACACCGAGUCACUUCCACUGCACCUGCGCAUCUAGUGGUAAUCCUGUGAUCUAUAACUAGCAGUUGAUCCUAUUUUAUGAGGUUGAAAUUUUUGUUUCCUAGCUAGCGUAGCGUCCUCAUAAUCCAUCAAGUUGUGCAUGAGCGGUCAUGGAAUAUUUUUUCAAACAAUUUGUGGGGGAGAUCACCACCUUCUUUUUCAUUGACCGAGAGUGCAGCAGAGCACAGUACAAAAUACAACCAGAAGCGAAUAUACGUUGACUCGUCGGGCUUGUCUGACAUCGAUGAUUUUUGCAGUCGCCCCUAUACCCACUAGUGAUCUUUAUCUGGCUUAGACCUCAAUAAAAAUAUGUGCAAUCUCGGCAGUUUGGCAUCCCAGUAGCAGCAGUCCAACUAUCUCCUCAGACCUCACUCCAUCCAACGGUCCAUUCGCUGGCCAAGAAUACCAAACAUUGUCUUGCCUCCUUUCUCCGCUACUUGGCCGCACCCUUUCAUGUUCAUUAUUCUCGCAUUGCAAAUCCUCAAUGGGGGCAUUUAGCCGACACCUACCGGACAACGCACAGUAGCACAACUUAUCAGCGGCUGCCAGAAAUAAGCACCAUGGCCUCCAUGCUCAAGUUCUCAUCGGCUGGACGAGGUAUCCCAAAUACCCCAAAUUGUAUUUGGUAAAUAAUGAUCAACUGAUCAUGUUUUUAUUGAGAAUUAUUAGGGUAACAGGCCAGGUUUUAUCUUUUCAGCUAUACAAUUCUAACUCAGAAAUCAGACACUACAUUAUGUUCCUUGCAUUCCAGCAAAGUGCUCAUUCAUUUAGACCAAGACGCCAGGUAUCUAUAUGCUACUUUUGGGUAAGUAGUGACUUUUAACUACACUAAUGAAUAAUGCUUGCACAUUGGUAUCUUCUAUAAUUUUUUUAUUGUAUGAAUAAUUUGAUAGGGAAUCAAAGAAAGCAGAUUGGAAGGUACCCAAGCCAGUGAUAAUGUGAAUAAUAAUGGCGAUACUUCAUGAACAAGAAGAGAUGGAGAUGUCACUAUACAAACACUAAUUGUACUAUUCAGCGCAUUUUGCAGAUAUAAUGAGAGGAGCGAGGUAAGUUUUCAUGAGCUUCCUUGUAAGCUCACCUGGUUUUAUAUCUAAUUAAAUAGGUCAAAAGCUGCAAAUUAGUCUGAAUGUGAACUGGCAGGAGAUCAAGAUAUGAUCACUGGUUUCAAGAGGUUCCAGAGAAGUUCAAGCAGUGCAUAUCCUCAAGAGAAUGAAUUUUCUUAUAAGUAGAGAUUUUCCCAUGAGCUUGCAAGGAAGCUAGCCCUAAAUCUUUUGAAUCACAAUAAGUUCGGGGAUGUUGGCCUGCAUUAGACAGUAGGCACAUUGCCUAGAGAAAAGAUGGAAAGGCAUCCAUCACCCUGAGUCUAGAAGAAUUUCUGAGGGUCACAGAGGCCGCAAGUGCCAGAUUCAGGUCUUGCAAGUCGGAGAGAGGGAUGUGAGACCAUUAGCGAGAGUCUCGUAGACAUUUUGGUUGAGCUUGAUGGAGUUUGAGAACAUGGCGGGGUAUAUGUCAGCAAUGAAUCUAGGUCAAAGCCAAUUAUCAAGCCAAAAAUAGGUGGUGAGCCCAUCGCUAACAUGAACCUUGGUGAGCAACUUGAAGUGAGGCAGCUCCUCCCAAAUGAUCUAAGCCUGGAAGGAACCAGAUGACUGCUCGACUAUAUCAAUGUCCACCCUGUCUAAGCAACCACAACUUGCAUGGGAGAAUGUCAGCGCCAAGAAGUUUGUGGACAAAUUUCAUCAGCCAGAACCUGCAUCCCAUGUGAUGAGGCAAUUUGAUCCAUGACAUUUGUCAAAUUGUCGUCCCUAGUCUAGAGGAAGGCCCAAUGUCUACUACCAAUGGCAUCUCUAACAGUCUUUUUUUAGGAAUCAGAUCUCUAACAGUCUUCCCUUAGGGAGUAGCAUAGCAAGCAUGUCAAGCAUUGCAUGGAAAGUUUAUCCCCCACUCUCCAGCCAUAGCUGAGAAGCCUAGACUUCCACCCGGCAAGGUAUCUAUCAGUUAAAGGUUGGUAGUCAACAAGCCUAGGUUUAUAUAUAACAGUAUAUACCUAGGCUUGUUGACUGCCAACCUUUAAUCGCCUCCAAUCCUUUGAUAUAUAUAUAUAUAUAUAAGGAAGGCCAGGUAUGUGGGAUCUGAGGUGACAACAGAUCAGCAACCCAGGAUGUUUGCCAUCAAUGAGGCCCUGAAUCUUCGAUGUUCAUAGGGAUGAACAUCGAUUUAUGGAAGUUGAUGGUAAGACCCAUGGCUCAGGACAAAGACCUAAGAGUUUCGCUUAGAGUACUAAUGGCAUAGAUACCUCCGUCCACAAGAAUGAUGGUGUCAUCUGUAUAUACUAAAGAACAGGACAUGGGAGAGACGGGCCAAUUGGGUGGCAUGGAGCUGGUGUGCGCAUGAUCAUGCAUUGCAAAACGUUCACCAUGAGAAUAAAUAGAUAGGGAGAGAUAGGAUCCUCUUGUUGAAGCCAUCGAUGGCAAUUGGACUAACAACUAGGGAUCACGUUAAGUAGAACUACCCAUUCUGCUAGUGUCGAUGUCGGAGCUCCAUCAGGAAUCAAAGCCACGUGCCUGGGAGGAUGGCAUCAAUGCUACUCUAGUCCACAUAAUUGAAGGCCUUCUUGAAAUCGAGCUUAAGGACCAUAGUGGCAUAGUGGGAGCAUGUCGCCUAUGACAGCAGUUCAGGAGGUUUGCAACAUAAACAAAGUUCUCAUCAAUAUUUCACCCAUGAACAAACCCAGUUUGGUUAGCAUCUUUCAAGGUAGGGAUGAGCAGCGGAAGGCGGUUUGCGAGGACUUUGUUGAAUAGUUUCAUGGGGCAAUUUUGAAGGGAUCUGAAGGCAUCUGCAGUGUCUGCACCAUCUAUUUUAGGGAGAAGGACCAGGAACGUGCGAUUCAGCCAAUCCAGAUUCAAGAUGCCAUGGAAGAAGGUUUCAAUGAGGUGUGUAAUAUCAUUUUUUACAGAAGGCCAGAUUGCCCCAUUAAAGAAGAGACCAAACUCAUCUGAGCCAGGGCUAGCGUUUGUGUCUGUAUCACAUAAAGCAUUCGAAAUUUCUUCCAUAAAGAGGAGGUCAUGGAGCUUUUUUGAAGCCCAUUCACUGAUUCACAGCAGCCUCACGGAUCGGAGAGCAUUUUCAAUGUGGCUAAUGAGGGGGGCGGCAUUGAUCAAGGGCAUUUACGAGGAUCCGAAGAUCGUGUAGAAAGGUGAAAUGAGAGCCAACAGUUUCUCUAUUGAUCUCUGAAUAGUAUAUGUAGUGUUACAUCAGAGUUGCAUCGGCAACCGUCUACAUUACAUCGUGAGCGUGGGAGCAUGGUCACCGCGCACACACGCGGUCAAGGGCGCCGUGGCCAGCUAUGCUACUGCCUAUUACAUACAUCCUCAACACCCCCCCCCCCCCCCGCAGCCUGAUGGGUGAUCGGCAGCACACAAAGACUGGAGUGAAAAUUCUCAAACGAUGCCGUCGGCAGCCCUUUCGUUUUGAUGUCUGCAAAUUGCUCAGCCAUAGGAACAUGUAGAAUGCGCAGCUCACCCAACUGAACUCUUUCGCGGACAAAAUGAAUAUCGAGUUCAAUAUGCUUCGUGCGCUUGUAGUGUACAGGGUUUGAGGACAUGUAUACUGCUGAGACAUUGUCACAGAACACCACCGUGGCCUUGGAGAUCUUGCAGUGGAGCUCACCAAGUAGCUGUCAUAGCCAAAUACAUUCGGCAGCCGCAUUGGCCACAGCACGGUACUCGGCUUCCGCGCUGGAUCGUGACACGGUCGGCUGCCUCUUCGACGACCAGGAGAUCAAGGAGUCACCGAGAUAAACACAGAACCCAGAGGUUGACCGCCGCGUGUCCGGGCACCCGGCCCAAUGGGCGUCAAAGUAUGCCGUGACGUUGAUGUCGGUAGAGGCACGCAGGUGAAUACCGUGCGACGUUGUGCCAUGUAUGUACCGCAGUAUGCGCUUGAGCAGCGUCCUGUGCGGCGACCACGGGUCAUGCAUGUGGAGACAUGCUUGCUGCACGGCGAAGGCGAUGUCCGACCGUGUCAUCGUUAGAAACGUACUGCAGCACGCCCGCGAGAUUGUGGUACGCCAUCGCGUCAUCCGUGGGUGGGCCGUCGGAGGAGAGUUUGUUCUUGGCGUCGAUUGGUGUUGGGGCAGCCUUGCAGUUCAUCAUCCCGGCACGAUCAAGGAUAUCUCUUCCACAUACCGUUCCUGGGAGAGGUAAAAGCCAUCCUUGGUAUGCUUCACGUCGAUGCCGAGAAAGAACCGCAGUGGCCCCAUGUCUUUGACAGCGAACUCAGCUCGGAGACGGUCGAUGAUGUGCUGCAGCAAGGCUGUGCUCGACCCAGUGAGGACGGUAUCGUCCACGUAGAGAAGGAGAUAGACAAUGUCUGUGCCGCGACUAAGAAUGAAGAGUGAGGAGUCAGAUCGCGUUGCCUGGAAGCCCAGCGUGGUAACAAACCCGGCAAACCGAGUGAACCAUGCGCGCGGAGCUUGUCGAAGACCAUACAACGAUUGGCAUCAACGAAGCCUAGGUUGUUGACAAAGUACAUGUUCAUGAAGAUGCCCAUGGAGAAAGGCAUUAGAGACAUCGAGCUGUUUUGUUGCUCACUGUCGAGAAGCAGCGAUGGUCAGGACAGUGCGAAUGGUGGUAGGCUUCACCACAGGUGAGAAUGUUUCCCCGAAAUCUAUCCCAGCAUGCUGAGUGAAGCCACGGACCACCCACCGCGCUUUAUAGCAUUCCAGCGACCCAUUCGGUUUCAGAUUGUGGCGAAAGACCCACUUUCCGGUGACAAUGUUAGCACCGGGCGGCCGAUCGACGAGACGCUAGGUACGAUUGCGCUGAAAAGCUUCAAAAUCAAGAGCCAUGGCUGCUCGCCAGUUUCGAUCCCUGAAAGCUGCGCGAGCAGUGGAAGGGAUAGGUGAGAUGACCGGCGUGGAUGAGUCCUGACAAGUGUUCUGGGCAUAUCGAGGAUUGGGCUUGAAAAGCCCUGCCUGAGAGUGAGUAUGCAUAUGAUGAACCGGAGCCAGUGCCGCUGGUAUAUUUGCUGGAGCUGGGGAGGGUGAUGGCGUGGGUGUAUGUGGAGCUGCCGCAGUUGGGGAUGGUUGUGGUGUGGGGGCUGAAAGACACGCUGCUGAACACGCUGAUGAAGAAUGACAGGUUCGUCAGGUACUGUAGCCGGUCCGGCUGCUGUUGAUGGAAUUGGUGGUGCAGAACGAAAUGGGAAUUGAGUUUCAUCAAAAACAACAUGGCGAGAAGUGAUUACUCGACGAGUUUGAAGAUCAAGGCACCGAUAACCACGGUGAUCAGCUGGGUACCCAAGAUGGACACACGGCAUUGAUCAAGCACUCAGCUUAUGCGGCAUUGUUGAUGACUGAUUUGGAUAGCAUAGACAUCCGAAAACACGAAGAUGACUGUAAGAAGCUGGUGUGCUUAGUAGGAGCUGGAAUGUCUUGCUUGGCCGCUGGCUCGACAACAGCGCUGAUUGAGAAGGUGAGUAGCUGUGGACAGUGCUUCCACCCAAUAUGUAUAGGGCAUACUGGCAUGGAGAAGCAGACUAUGAAUGCAGUCGUUCAGAGUCCUGAUGAUGUGUUUGGCUGUGCCGUUUUGAGAAGAUGUGUAUGGGCACGAUAAUCUAAAGGAAACACCAUUGUGUUCGAGAUGAUGAUGAAAUGCUAUGUUAUCAAAUUCCUUCCCAUUGUCGGUUUGAAAGGCAAGAAUAGAUAAUUGAAACUGGGUGUGAACGUAAGCAUGAAAAGCAAGUAAACAUGGAAAGACAUCAGAUUUAUUUCUCAGUGGAAAUGUCCAGACAUAAUGAGUAAGAUCAUCAAUUAAAACAAGGUAGUAUUUGAAACCACUUAAACUAGACACCGGAGAAGUCCACACAUCAGCGUGCACAAUCUGAAAUGGUACAUAACUGACUGAACGGGGAUCUGAAAAAGGAAGACGAACGUGCUUGCCGAGCUGACAAGCGUCACAAGUUGGCUUGGUGGAGGUGAACUCAAGGUUGCGGAGCGUCUGUUGCAGCAUGCGAUGUCCUGGAUGUCCCAAACGCUGAUGCCAGAGCUCAACAGUAGGGGUGGAGUUGACAGUGGAGACGAGGGCCUCUGGCGUUGCUGGUGCCACAGAGGGUAGAGCUCGCCGUCACUAUUACAUCGGAGGAUCACCGAGCGAGUGGGAAGGUCCUUAACAGAGAAACCGAAUGCAUCAAAUUCCACAGAGACAUUAUUGUCACGAGUUAAUGAACGAACAGAAACGAGGUUCUUGACAAGAGAGGGACCUUAACAGAGAAACCGAAUGCGUCAAAUUCCACAGAGACAUUAUUGUCACAAGUUAAUGAACAAACAGAAACGAGGUUCUUGACAAGAGAGGGAGAGACUAGAACAUUGGACAGGAAAAGGGGUGUUCGGCUUGUGGGAAUGAUGGUGGAGGAACGAUGAGUUACUGGCAACGUGGCACCGUUGCCAACUGUGAUCGGAGGAGAAUUAUAACCUGGGGUAGGAGAGAAGAGAUUACCAGCAUUGGAAGACAUAUCCAUGAACCACUCAGCCGGCUGUGGAGGAGUUGCCGAGGAGUUAGUCGCGUUCAGUGCGGCGAGCAGUGCCUGAUGGUUCCAUGGAUCCAUGGGAGGAGGUGGUGGUGUGAUGCCGGAGGAGAAUGAGGGUUGAUCGGCGAAGUAGGCUUGGUGCGGCGAGGACCCAGACGAGGACCGAGGACACCAACAGCUGGGACACGCCAUGGCAUGGACCAGGCCGGUCCACUGGUUCUGACCCGGUGUCCAGCUUGUGGGAGGCCAAGGGGAUGAGGAACUGCCUGGAUGGUGACCACGCCCACGACCGCGGCCACGUCCGCAUCUGGUGUCUUGGCGGUUCGACGCGCCAUGAGAUCCGCCAGAAGACUUGGGGGCAGUUGUUGCGGAGCUGGAUCCAGAAUUGGUGGUGGAGUUGGAACCGGAGUCAGUCGAGGUGGGUGCGGUGGGAUGAGGGCCGCCGGUGGUGAGCAAGGCGUGCUGCGCCGCCGACUUGGCAUGCUCCUUGUCGUACUGCUCCUCCAAGAGAAGGUAGGAACGCGCUGAGAAGAAGGUGUGCGGUGGCUGCUUCGACAUGAUCGUAGAGAUGGCAUGACGAUACUUGGAGCUGAGGCCAUGCAGCAUGUUCAAGACCUGCUGGCUCGUCUCACGAAUAGGCUGGCCGACGUCGCGGAGGGCAUCAGCAAGCUGCUUCAAGCGGCCGGUGUAUUGAGUGAUAUCCAUGUCACCUUGCACCAAAUUUCGAAACUCCGCCUCCAGAUAGACAGCACGAUGGAACUCGUUGUCGCGGAAUUGCUCAUGGAUGGCAGUCCAGACGCGGUAGGAAGUUGCCUUGGGCGCACGAACGAUGUCACGAACAUCCUUGGUGAUGGAGAUGUACAGCCAGCUCAAGAUGCACAGGUCACGUAGGUGCCAAUCGGGAUCAUGGCGCUGGUCGGAGCUUGGCGGAGAAGAGACAUGGGAAGUGAGGCCGAACUUGCCGAGGAACGCAUUGAAGAAGCAGCGCCACUCUUCAAUUAGUUCGGCGCAGUGAGUUCAAGGAUGACCGGAACAUGAGAUUUGAUGUUCACAGUCUGGAGCACAGCGGUGGGAGGGGUGGUUACAGCUGGAGUGUUGGCAUCUCCGUCAACAGAGGAGGUGUAGGAGGCGAGGGUGGUGGUCUCGGAAUCAGAGUUGUCGAGACCAAAGAGGGGGUUGUCGUCCAUGGUGGGCAUGGCGACUGAAGGGCACGUCGAGGCUGAUCAGCGAUGCGCAGUGGAGAAAGAGGAUGGCGAGAAAGGAAGGAGGAUCAACCCGUACUAGCUGAUACCAUGUAGAAAGGUGAAAUGAGAGCCAACAGUUUCUCUAUUGAUCUCUGAAGAGUAUAUGUAGUGUUACAUCAGAGUUGCAUCGGCAACUGUCUACAUUACAUCGUGGGCGCGGGAGCAUGGUACUGCCUAUUACAUACAUCCUCAACAGAUCGGACUCACGCUGGUCAGGGGAACACCAUGCUUUGGACCACCAUUUACACAUGAGACAGCACUUCUUCAUGCGCCCAGAGAAAUUAUUGCUGAAACUAGAACCAAGCGAAUCAGACCAGGUGUGGGUGAGGCUGCUCUUGAAAUCGUUAUGAAGCAGCCAACAAUUCUCAAACUUAAACCCGUGUGACUUAGGGAGGUGGGUCAAAAUAGACACCAAAACUGGAACAUGUGGUCUGAGGUAUGUCUCUCGUUAGGGCAGAGAGAUUGAUGCCAGGGGAAAAGCUAGUCCCAAGCAUCAUUAACAAAUAAUCAAUCUAGCUAUGGAAAAGUAAUUCAUUCAUAGAUCUAGCAAAAAUAAGUAACUUCUUGAUUUCAUAAGCGUACCUGCAUAAUUUCACCUCCUGAUUGCCGCAAAAUCAAGAGCUGUUGCAUCACUGUUAUGCGAGACAUCCUUCUUCAGGGAAUUUGUAGUAAGAUAAGAGCCUACUUCAAAUGGAGAAGGAAGAAGACUCACAAUACGAAGAAGAAGAAGGGAACCAUACAGCUAAAAGGCACACCCUUAAAUAUAUCUAUAAGUUAAUAUAUAAUUUAUUAUAGCAUUUCCAAAGAUUUUUGUGUAUUUAGUAAGGCAUAAUGAAUAGUCUUCAAGCAACCCAUAAAAAGCUGUCAAAACAGCUGUCUUCUUCCUGCUAUACAGUAUAUGGACAUACAUGGCACCAGUACACACAUGUCACAUGCAAUUGGUGAGAUAAUAUGUUUUUUGGCGGGCUAAUUUAUGUCACCAACUUUAUUUGUUCUAUACCAUUUCUUUACUUAUGAAUGGUUAAUAUUACUGAUGUUUGAACUGCGAACACCUGAGACCAUAUGUUUAGUAAUGGAAAACAAAGAAAUUUUGUUAACAAUUCAAUAAAGACUAGUGACCACCAGUUUACAAUAACAUUGAUUUGUAUAUGAUGACUAGCAACGAAUGAACACACAAACGCCAACAACUUCUUUCAUUUUUCUAGGAUUACGAGGGCAUUUACAAUUUGUAGGAGGAUGAGUGUGUUGCCAGUGCCAGAUCACUCCCCUAGUCCUUACAACAUUAUACAAGUCCUUGCACAUAAUAUAUUUUAUUUGAUUGCAUUCUACAAUUCACUUAGAAAAAGAACCGAUGUCAAUAAGCAUAUUGUUUUCAAUAAGUUUAUUAACUUGCUACAAGUAAGGUGUGGAGUAGUUCAGAUGGUUGAAUGGAAUGGAUGCCAGGGGCAGUAAAUAUUGGCAUGAUGCUAUUGUAACACACCAGUUUCAUGUAGUUUGAAUUUGUGGAUAAUCUAGUUUGUAGUACGUAAUAACUAUCCUUAAUUCAUCCUCCACCAUUUCAUGUCGCAAACCCCAAAACCACCGAAUCAUUUGCGCCCAUGAAUGCCAAGCUCCCAAGUCAGGUUCAUGGAGUUUGGAGGUGACCAGGUGAUGACCCACUCUGCCUGCAACUGUUUCCUAUUGAGCCAAAGAACAAAUAAUGGAGUCUUUUGUGCCAUUUGAAUCACUAGAGUUAACUGUUAGCUAGCCAGCUUUGAUAGGUAUAGUUGGUAAGACACUGGUAGCUGGUUCAUUAGCUAGAUCCAAUCAAAGAUUCAAGUAAAUUUGGCAGCUAGCUCACUGUUAGCUGUGUGUGGUCAAACAGGCUCUCAUAAAUCCAACCCAUUUAUCAGCUUUCCUUUUAUUUUUCUAUUACUAUAAUGCCAUGUUUAAAUUGGCAGCAGAUCCAAACAAUCCAGCUAAUGGUAUUCAGAUUGAAUUAUCCACCUAAUUAACCAUCCAACAAAUAAAAUGUUAUACAAUUCUAUCAUAGUAGGGCACAAGCAUUUCUCGGGUACUUGGCCCACUUGUCAGCCUUUGAACGUUCUAAUUGCAUUCGCACAAGUUUCUCCCAUCCAAACAAUGACACAAGCUCAAAUAGGGUAAGCCCACCCAAUCAUCCAAACUAUUAUGAUUUUCAUGCAAGUGGUGAGAUACUUUUUUGUUUCUUGGCGGGCUAAAAGGAAAGGUAAUAUAUUUCACUAACUUUAUUUGUUAUGCCAUUUCUUUACAUUGUGAAUGGUUAAUAUUACUGAUGUUUGAAAUGCGAACACCUGAGAAUAUAUGAUUAGUAAUGGGAAACAAAAAAAAUUGUUAACAAGUCAAUAAAGACUAGUGACCACCAGUUUACAAUAACAUUGUUAGUAUAUGAUGACUAGCAACGAAUGAACACACUACACCAACAACAUUUUUCUAGGAGGGCAUUUACAAUUUGUAGGAGGAUGAGUGUGUUGCCAAGUGCCAGAUCACUCCCUGGCCUCCUUACAACAUUAUUUGUGUAUGAGUCCUUGCACAUAAUAUAUUUUAUUUGAUUGCAUUCUACAAUCCACAUAGAAAAGAACCACGGAUGUCAUAUGUCAAUUAGCAUUUUGUUUUUAAUAAGCUUAACAUGCUACAAGUGAGGUGUGGAGUGGUUCAAAUGAUUGAAGGGAAUGGAUGUUGGUAGCCACAGUACAUAUUGGCGUGAUGCUAUUGUAACACCCCAGUUUCAUGUAGUUUUAAUUUGUAGAUAAUCUUGUUUGUAGUAUGUACAUAACUAUCCUUAAUUCAUCCUCCUCCACCAUUUCACGUUGCAAACCCCUCAUCAUCCAUGCUAACCAUGGGAACUCCCAAAACCACUAAAUCAUCUACACCCAUGAAUGCUCCUUGCUUGUUCACAUGGAUGCGUCAAUGGGAUAAUUGUUCUUGUUAUCAUAUUUAUUCAAAUGACACUAGCUUAGUAUAGUGUGCGCAAAUUGUGUUGCUAGUGCUACAAUACAACAGAGCAAAUGUACAUACACAUCCUAUAGACCUUCAUCAAAUAUAUUUUCAGCCAUCAAAUAUUGAGAGCUAGCUAGAUACAAUUUGUUGUCUAUAUAUAUGUCAUCCAUUGGUUUGUACUUUGAUAGUAGGUUUAAAAAUAAUGCAUCUGGCACCGAACCAUAUAUAGGCCCAUGCAUGGCAUCAAUCAACCAAAAUAAAUUCUCUGUACGCUCCCCAGUUUGGUUUCAUGGAGUUCUGUGUGACUAUGUGAGACUCACUCUGCUGUCUACCACCGUUUCUUCUCUCCAUGUAAACAAAGAGCCGUUUGAUACGUAUAGUUGGUAAAUGGUAAUACACUGGUUAGCUGGUACGUUAGCUAGAUCCAAUCAAUUAAAUAUUCAAGUAAAUUUUGGCAACUCACUGUUAAUUAGUUGUAUGUGAUCAAACACAGGAUCUCGUAAAUCCAACCAUUUAAGCUUUCCUUUUAUUUUUUAUUACUAUAUGCCAUGUUUUAAAUUGGAUAGAUCGAAUAAAGAUGCUAAAAAAACUUCAACAGAUCCAAACGAUCUAGUUUAUAAAAUGUUAUACAUAGCAGGCACACAUAAGCAUUUCUUGGGUAAUUGCCCCACUUGUCAGCGUUUGAGCGUUCUGCUUGCAUUUGCACAAUUUCCUCCCAUCCAAACAAUGACACAAGUUCAUAUAAGGCAAGGCCCACCCAACCAUCGAAACUAUUAUGAUUUCCCAUACGAAAUCUGAAGAAUAAAAUGUAUUUUAAAAUUGUAGAGCACCACAAAAUCUUUGUACUUGAUUUUGUUCAUUUAUGAUUUUCAUACGAAGUCCAAAUAUUUGUUAAAAAUUGUGUACUUCUGUGUUUUUGGGGGAGGGGGGUCUUUAUGCUUCUGUACACAUGUAAACACUCCAUUUCUUUUAAAAGUAAAUUUAGAAUACUUCUCACAAAAAAAAAAUUUCUAGAAUCUCUCAUAUUUUAUUGUUUCUAAAAAUAUUGUCGGUAUUAAAGUUACAUAUAGGGCUGUGAGAUCUGUAACUUUUUACUUGACAAAUUUUGUUAAAAUAUAAUCUCUUAAGUGCCAAAUACCGCACUAGUUUGGAGAUGUAAAGUAAAAAUAAUAGCAUCUCUCUCUUCUAACCAGACAUGGACGGUAUAGGUGCUAUGCAUAUAGAGGUAGAAGUCCUGGGUUUGAAUCAUAGAAAAAUAUAUAUGCACAUAAUUUGUGCAGAAAUUUACGUGAGUUAUGACUUAUCAAAUCCAACCAUUCUUUUAUCACACAACCUCCAUCCUUUCCAAUAUCUUAGAAGCAAUAUGUGAACUUGAUAUGCUCGAAUUCACGAACUAAUUGAUACAAAAGCCAUUGACCAACACAAGUGCUUUAGUACAGACCACUGAACGAUGGCUCCAACACCAGUCUUGCCUAUAGAAUGAACUAUUUGUAAGAGAAAAAAUAGCACUAACCUUGGUAAAUCAAUGUGCAGCACAUCUUCUCUUUUCUAGUACCUUCUUCCUAACUUUCCUGGCUCCACCACUUGAGUAUAUAUAGGAGAUUAGCGGACACUUGGUAUCUAUAUCUAUAUCUAUAUCUAUAUCUAUAUCUAUAUCUAUAUCUAUAUCUAUAUCUAUAUCUAUAUCUAUAUCUAUAUCUAUAUCUAUAUCUAUAUCUAUAUCUAUAUCUAUAUCUAUAUCUAUAUCUAUAUCUAUAUCUAUAUCUAUAUCUAUAUCUAUACCUAUAUAUUUUUUAAAAAUAAACCCCGCUAUAUUUCUAUCUCAACAUGAAGCUAUAUCUUCUAUACUAAAUACUACAUUAUCCCUCAAUCUCUUUAUGCAAUCUAUCCACGCCACCGCCACUAAAUGCAAUUACUAUUUUUAAUCUAUUAAGAAAUACAAGGCAUCUAUUUAUGUUAUUUGUUUUGCAGUACUAUCAUAUUGCAAUUUGAUCUAAUUUGCAUUAGUUUCUUUACUAAAUUCUUUUGCUACCUUGCCAAAUUUUAACUAAAACUGAUGUAAGGACAUGUAGUCCAACACAUGCAAGUGACUCUAUCUCUAGGAAUGUCCGUGGACAUAAGUAACGGGCCUCUUAGGUCUAUAUUGGGCCUCCUCUUAAGAUGUUUGACUUUAAAAAUUCUAUUUUAAGAAGUAGACCACUUCAAAGGCCUUCAUAAAUCCAUUUUAGGACACAAGAAAUUUUUGUCCAUCUCCGCAAAUUAAAUGUAUCCUCACGUAGUUUAGAAGACGGUUAAUUUUUAUGAUCACCUCUGUUAAUGACUGGGUAGUUUCUCGUAAAAUUAUUUAUGUAUUAGUGGGGUAGAUAAUUUCUUAAGUCACCUUUUGUCAAAUAUCAUUAAUUUGAAUUGGCUACUUAGCUCUGCAAUGGUUGUGGCCUGGUCCUUUUUUCUAAAACUUCAUCUUCCAAUCUUAUGAGCAAUUUGUCUUGUAAAGGCGUACUUCAGUCCUCAAAAUGAAUACAGAACCAUUGGUGGUAGUGUCACUAAUAAUUGGAAGAAAUGACACGUCAAAACAACACAAUAUGACAACUGCAUAACAGACACGGGAAAACAUGUCAUCACUUCUGUUACGUCUCUAAUGUAAGCACACCAGUGACACAUAAAAUAAACAUGUCGCUAAUGAACCUUCAUCAAAGACACAUUUAUCCAAAUCACAUUAGUGAUGCUCAACCCUCUUUAGAUACUUUAUAGAAAAAAAUUUUCUCUGACGUGAGUCAUUAGAGACUUGAAAUGCCAAAAGUGUCUUUGAUGUGAGUCAUCAGAGACACUAAAAGCCAAAACACGUCUUUGAUGUCGGUCAUUAGUGACUCUUAUAGCCAAAACACAUCUUUGAUAAGGGUCUCACAAGAGUCGUGUUGUGGCUAUAAGAGUAGAUUCCUUAUAAUGAAAGCCUAGAAUUUAAAAUUUGGGUCAAACUCAUUGUAGAUUUUGAGAUUAGUUGGAUCAAAUCUAGCUCCAAUUUAAGGUAGAGAUAUAGAUAGGGAUAGAGAAAGAUACAGAGAGAAAAUUGAGACACAGAGAUCGAUAGAUAUACACAAGAAUAAAGAAGAGAUAGAUAGUAAAAUAAAUCAAUGUCUUUCCAUGUCAUAUUGGUCUUUAUAGUCAUAUAUAUGCCAUUAUAUUCAACAACUCAAAGCAUGAUUGUGCAGCCGGAUCCAGGAUCAUUCAUAUUGUCCAAUAAGAAUAUGAGUGACUGGUGGGGAGCCUUGAUACUUAUAUUGUUUCUCUCUGUGUUCCUUGCGCAAUGUAAGUACUCUUUACCUUUGUUGGUUCUAUAUAUAUAUAUAUAUAUAUAUAUAUAUAUAUAUAUAUCCUCAUGAACACAUAAUCUAUCAGGUCAUUCUCAUGAGGAGCAGCAUGUUGGAACUGCAAGGGGCCGAGCCGCUUAUAGCGUCACCAGAACAAAUCAUUUAUUUUGUCGGACCGAUAACAAAAAUAAUAAAGUUGUCUACUGCUGCGCGAAUCAAUGGCCAAAACCAAAAUGUUAUGACACUUUUCAGGAGUGUCUUGCCCAUUGCCAUGCUCGUAAUCUCAAAUUCCCAAGUGAAUUAAGUGAUCAACCAUGCCAAUCAAGUUAAUGAUGCAUAAUCAUAAUGAUCCUCCAGUCAGUUCAUUUGAUUGUUUUAAAAUCAUCAUUAUUUACCUAAAUAAUGUACUCCAUAUUGAUCGGUAAUAAUAAGGGAAAGUUCUAUUCUAGUAUAUUUGUUCCAUAUAUCUCCACUUGUUUCUGUUUUCAAAUUACUCCAUAUUGAUUGAUAAUAUAUAAGGAAAAUCUGCCGCCAAUCCGAUCGCUGGGCACCUAUCGCCGAUGCCUUCACUGCCCACUAGCCGCCACUGACUCAGUCGCCGGCUCCUUGCUCGUGCCGCCGCUGAUCCUAUCGCCGGGCUCCACUACGUUCGUCGCCCACCAGCACCAGCUGCUGCCGACUCCAUUGUCAGCUCCCUGCUCGUGCCCGAGCCACUGAUAUGAGCGCCGAUCGAGAAACCUUUCUCCCUCUGCGCUCAUUACCUGCCGCCGAUUUGUUUCACCAGGCUCGCUCGCUGCCGCGAUCCGCCCCACCCGCCUGCUAUCACGUUCCGCUAGCUCGCGACCCGCAAACAGUCUGAGCAUGCCUCGCAAAUAUUUUGUCGAGAAAAUAUGUGACUUAUGACUUGUGACCGUGUAGGGCACACGAGUGUGCGUCUCCUAGAUUAUUCUUUUUUGUGCAAUUUAUAAAUUGUAGACAAUGUUUUUUAGAGGUUGCUAGGUUUUUGACCGCCUCUAGAAAUUAAUCUUUACAGGUAAAUGAGAUUCAGUCGGUCUCUAGAAAUAUAUUGUUAGAGGCGGCUGAUUCCAAUUUCUGGAGAACAAAGGUGGAAGGUGGAUGGAAUAUCCGUCUCUACAAAAGGUUUUCAGCCACCUCUAAAAAUCUUGUUUUUAGUAGUUAUGGACAGAAGGGAUGUAUUGUAGAAUAACUAUUCCUUCUAAUAUUAGAUAUAGGAAUAUAAUGUUUUUGGAAAGUACAAAAAUCAUUACUCACAGCAGAAGUAGAAAUGGUAGUGUCAAUUGUGCAAGUUCAUCAGCAUGUUGGUCCUUUUUCGAGACCCUAAGAAGUCAGACGUAAUUAAAUUUAACAAAAUAUAUAUAAGAAAAUAUUAAUAUUUAUGCUACAUAAUUAAUAUCAUUAAAUAGAUUGCUGUAUCUAUUUUUACAAUAAAUUUAUUUAGAGCUAUAAAUUGCACCUAUACGAGAGCGUCAUUAUUGCACACAAAUAAAGUAUGAAACUACAUAUAUAUAUUAUCCAUAUAAUAUAUAUAUCUAUAUAUAUUAUAUAGCUAUACACAUACGUACAUACACAUUACAUUUACAAUAAUAAUAUUAUGUACAAGUAAUAAUCAAGUGUGCUGCCACCGGUUAAUGAUUACAUAAUGUUUUUCCGCCCACUCAAAGCUCAUACAAGUGUUCGUCCUUGUUUGGAAUGAGCUUGAAGCCCUGCGGGUAUAAGUGGAACUCGCCGUCUUCCGGAAUGACAUGGAUAGUUGAUAAAUCCGGCGAUCGUCUCCUAGACUCCAAGGAGUAAUGUGUACUCGAACACUUUAUCUUUCAUAUUCCACUCCUUUCAUUUGCAUUAGUUAAAAAAGAUAUUAAUAUACAUAAAAUCUAUUUAGUUCCAACAAAUAAAUAAGAUAUGAAUUUACUGUAUACACAUGCAUGUUACUUACUUUUUGAACACUUUGAGCAGGUUUAAAUAGGGUGCACCGCAUAAAUUCACAAACAUAGUAUCCACAUAGAUUCGUUCCAAACGGCUGCGUGGGCACCCAAGGGAGUAGAACAGGAGGAGGAAGUGACACAUUCAGAUCCGUACGAUAUUUUUGUUGUAGCCUAGCCCAAGCCCUGCCCAAUAAGACGCUCGUUCAUUAGUUAUAGCUAGCAUAAUAAAGUAAAGGAGCACGCAUCGAUAUUUAAAGUAUGAUAUAUACUUACCUCUGGAUCAUGUCUAUUAUGUCUUGAUAGAGUGCUAGGUCUUUUUUCAUUGAGUCCCACACAUGUAUUUUUUGUUCUGUGAUCUUAAUCUCAAUGAGUAUCCAAUUAUCUCUGCAUUUGUUUAGAGUCAACUUAUAUAUGUAUAUGUUAAUGCCGGAUUAACUAAGACAUGAUAUAACACAACACUUACCCCAUAUUGUAAGGGAAGAGUAUCUUCUCCGUAUGCCUUUGGUUAUAAAAGAACCUCCGGAGGUUCUUCUCCAUUUCCUUAGGCUUCAGAUUCAAUGGAUCUUUAGUUUUAGUGUCCUUGUACACGACAUAUGGAUCGAUGAAACCAAUUUGAUUGUCUUUUUUAAUCUUUGUUCUCUCAUCAUGUGUCUGCACAUCGUGAGUGUAGUUAUUACAAAUACAUACAUAUGCUAUAAUGAGAUUAAUGAUUGAAAGGAAGAAUCACUUACAAACAAUAGCAGCUCAUGAGAGAUUUGUUGAGAGCAUUCAUAUGGAGAAGUUGGUGUACUUCACUAAAAUCUAUCCAUAUGACGUCAUCUCCACGGAAGUAGUGUCGGUCGCGGACUCGGACGACAAUCAAUUCUUCUUCUAUAUAUUUUGAGCUGACUCUCAAGUAGUACUCGUGCAGCUUGUAUAUUUGCGUACCAAGUCCUCAUACCUUCUCAGGGUGGCACAUACUCCUGCCGUAAAUGUACCGACUCUGAUAGUCAUCGACACCUCCGUGGAUUGGCGCAUCGGUACGCCCUAGAAGUGCUUCUAGGGGCAGCCCAGUUUCUUCCAUCCAAUUCUCGAGUUCAUCUAAGUCCACAUUAGCAGGUAUAGUCAUUGCCAGCAAGUUGGCGUUUGAAUCGUACUCAUUCGCAACCACUAUGGUUUUGCAAAAUUUUCAAAGUUCAUCGAAAGGUCUGUUCUCUAGUAGUGAAAUUAGAGGACUAGAAUGCAUUUCCAAAUAUCAUCGACCUAUUGAAAGCCCUAGUUUGGUUUUGGAUAAUUGAUGAAACCCUAGUACUAUCCUCUGUACUAAGUGUGUGUAGACUUAAUGAGGUUGGUACAUGCCAAGUGAUGGAGCAAGUGAUGAUCAUGGUGAUGAUGGUGAUGACCACAAGGUGAUCAAGUGCUCAACUUGGAAAAGAAGAAAGAGAAAAACAAAACCGUAUGGAGAUCAAGGCAAAGGUAUUGCUUAGGGUUUUGGUUUUGGUGAUCAAGACACCAUAGAGGGUGUGAUCACAUUUAGGAUAGAUAGCCGUACUAUAAAGAGGGGAAUUCUUUGGCUAAACGGUUAUCAAGUGCCACUAGGUGCCAUUGUUCAUGUGCAUGCAUUUAGAACCUAGUGAGCUAACUUAACUCCUUCAAAGAAAUUGAUUGUGAAAAUGCUAACACACGUGCACAUGUUGGUUUACACAUUGUGGUGUUGGCACACUUUCGGCGCUUUUCGAGAAAAUGAAGUGCAUAUUUUCUAUUGCGCCGGUGGGAAAUUUGGAGAAGUCGUGGGAGUGUUUCUCGCUGAGAAAACACACACCGGACGCUGGCUCAGAGGCACCGAACGCUGUGUCUGAGCGUCCGGUGCGCAGGUUGCCGGGCCCAUCUAGGGUAAGGCACCGGACGAUAGGCACCGGUGUGAGGUACGUUUUGCAGACAUCUCUGGGUGUGAUUCCGGUGAGCACCGGACGCUCAGGGUGCGUCCGGUGGCUCGCGUCCGGUGACCCUGCGAGUUUGCGGAGCUCUCUGCGCAUGAGUCCGGUGUGCACCGGACAGCGUCCGGUGCUCUGCAGGUUACCGUUAGACUCUGACACACGGCUGACUUUAGAGCACCGGACACAGGUGUUGAGCGUCCGGUGCCCCUUUAAGAGCGUCCGGUGACCCCGUAUUUCGCCCAGUGAAAGCGCCAACGGCUCUAUUUGCUUGAGGGGCUAUAAAUACGUGUUUGGCCGGCUUGGGGCUCACCCUCUUGGCAUUCUUGACUACUAGACAUCCUUGUGAGCCUAAGCAAACUCCUCCCACUCAUCUCCUUCAUAGAUUAAACAUCUUUGUGAGAUUGGGAGUGAUUCCAAGUGCAUUUGCUUGAGUGAUUGCAUCUAGUGGCACUUGGGGAUCGUUCUAGCUGCGGUUUUCUUGUUACUCUUGGUGGUUGCCGCCACCUAGAUGGCUUGGAGCACCGGAGGAGGAUUGGCACGAGUUGGUGAUUGUUUGUGGCCAUCUCCCGGUGAUUGUGAGAGGUUUGUGCCUACCUCGGCGGAGUGCCAAAGGCAACAUUAGUGGAUUGCUCGUGUCAUUGAGUUACCUCACUUAUGGGUAGGUUCUUGUGGUGUCCUAGUGAGGACGAGGUUCGUGCAACACCUCUUAGCCACCGAACCACCAAGUGUUGGUCGACACAACGGGGACGUAGCGUGCCGGCAAGCACGUGAACCUCGGGAGAAAAAUUGUGUGUCUCCAUUGUGAUUGUUCAUUGGAUUUCUCCCGGUGAUUGGACUUCAUAUUAUUGAUUGGUUCAUCCCCUCUACGUGGCGGUAUGAAGAUCAAACUAUCUCUUUUUACAUUCCCGCAAACUAGAGUAGCUUACUUACUUGUAUAGAAACUUUUAGGUAGCUUUCUAGUGUAAGUAGUGACAUAGCUCUUGUGUGCCUAGUGAUUAUAUCAACUAGAAUUGUUGGAUAGGUGGCUUGCAAACACCCCAUUAGAGCUAGAGCAAAAAGCUUCGCUUUGUUAUUAACUAACCUCUUGCUCUAGUGAGUUUGUAGAUUUUUUAAAUAGGCUAUUCACCCCCCCUCUAGCCAUAUUAGGACCUUUCAAGUGGUAUCGGAGCUGUGGUCACCGUUUGUGAAGGCUUAACAACCUCGGUGCUCAAAUUAUGGCUCAAAUAGUGUUCAACCAUGUUGGGGGCAAACCACCGUUCUUUGAUGGCACAAGCUCUUUUGACUAUUGGAAGAGAAAGAUGAAAAUGUAUCUUGGAUCAAUAAAUGAUAGAGUGUGGGAAGUCACCGAAAAUGACUUUGUGAUUCUUGAUCCGGCUAACCCCACCGACAAUGAGAGAGCAAAUAAGCAAUGCAAUACUAUGGCUCUCAACACAAUAUACAAUGGCAUUGAUUCAAAGGUAUUUGAACAAGUCAAAGAUCUUGAGAAGGCUAGUGAAGUGUGGACAAGGCUUGAAGAAACAUAUGAGGGCACUACAACGGUAAAAAGUGCCAAGUUGUAUAUGCUCAAGGACAAGCUUUCAAACUUUAAGAUGAAGGAUGAUGAGUCCAUACCAGAGAUGUUCUAUAGGCUCCAAGUCAUCAUAAAUGAUCUCAAGGGCCUUGGUGAGAAAGUGAAGGAUGAGGACUUCAUUCACAAGUUCUUGAUGUGCUUGCUCAAGAGGUUCAAGACAUUGAGAACAAUCAUCUUUAGAGGUGGAUUGACCGGUGUAUCUCCCAAUGAGGUACUUGGAGAUGUCAUGACCGAAGAUCAAUACAAUGACAAUGAUGAUGAUGAGGUCAUGAAGAAGGACGAUGAUGACAAGAAGAAGAGUGUAGCAUUCAAAGCUAGCUCUUCAUCCAAGAGCAAGAACAAGGGCAAAGCCAAGAAGGAAGAAUCAAGCGAUGAGGAGUGCUCCAAUGAUGAUAGUGAUGAUGAAGCACUAGCACUCUUCGUCCGCAAGUUUGGCAAGAUGAUGAAGAAGAAGGGCUAUCACACAAGAAAGAGAAGGGACAACUCCAAGAACAAGGAAUAUGUGAGGCUAUGCUACAAGUGCAAGAGUCCCGAUCAUAUUGUGGCGGAUUGUCCAUACAAUAGUGAUCAUGAUGAGCAUGAGAAGAAGAACAAGAAGGAGAAGAAAGAAAAGAAAGAAAAGAAGAUGGUCUUCAAGAAGAAGAAGAAGGGUGGAUCCUAUGUUGUGACUUGGGAUAGUGAUGCUUCUUCGGAUGAUGAUUCUAGUGAUGAUGACAAGGCAUCCAAGAAGAAGGCGCUUGCAAGCAUUGCUAUCAACAACAAGCCAUCACUCUUCGACACUCCUUCAUGCUUCAUGGCCAAGGGCCACAAGGUACAAUAUGAUGAGAGUGAAAGUGAAAGUGAACAUGAACAUGAUAGUGAUAGUGAUGAUGAAAAUGAAUUCACUAAUGAACAACUCAUGGACAUGUUAGAACAAGCCGAUUCUCUCAUUCAAUCUAAAAACAAGAAGUGCAAAGAAUUGGCCAAGAAGUUAAAAGCUCUUGAGCAAUCCUUUGAUGAGCUCAAUACUAAUCAUGAGAGGCUAGUGGAAGCCCAUGAGAAGCUUGGCAAGGCUCACACCAAGCUUGAGAAAGCUCACUCCUUGUUGUUAGAAGAGAACAAGGAAAAGGUUGUUGUAUCAUGUGAUGUGGGCACAACAUGUGACUUAAUUAAAGAAUCACCCAACCCACCUAUUGUUGUUGCCACUAACUCUUCAUGUAGGUCUUCAUCCACCACCAUCAACUCUACCUCUACUUCUAAUGUUAGUGUCACUUGUGAUACCUCACUAAAGGUUGAGAAUGAGACUCUCAAGAGAGAGGUGGAUGAGCUCACUCACGCCCUAGGCAAAGCCUAUGGUGGUGAGGCCCGCUUGCUAAAGUGCUUGGGUAGCCAAAGGUUUUCUCUCAACAAAGAGGGAUUAGGCUAUACCCCCAAGAAGGGCAAGAAAGCCUUUGCAACUCACAAGCCUAGCUUUGUGAAGAGCAAUGGUCGGUAUUGCAACAAAUGCAAGCAAGUUGGGCACCUAGAGCAUAAUUGCAACAAAAUUAACAAGAACAAGAAAAAUGCUAAUGUGUCUUACAUUCCUUUUGAUUCUUGUUAUGUGCUUACCAAGGGUGAGAAGGGUGUGCAUGCUAAGUUUAUUGGUACACCAAUUGUGGGUCCAAAGAAGAAGGCCAUUUGGGUACCAAAGAGCUUAGUCACUAACCUCCAAGGACCCAAACAAGUAUGGGUACCUAAGAAACAUUGAUUUGUUUUGUAGGUAAACUAUAAAGCCGGAGGAAGGCAUUGGGUGCUUGAUAGUGGGUGCACACAACACAUGACCGGUGAUUCAAGAAUGUUCAAUUCAAUCAAUCCAAAUGAUGACAAUGGUGUUGAUAGUAUCACAUUUGGUGACCAUGGCAAAGGCAAGGUCAAAGGGCUUGGUAAAAUUGCUAUAUCCAAUGACUUGAGCAUUUCUAAUGUGCUACUAGUAGAGAGCUUGAACUUCAACUUGCUAUCCGUAGCUCAACUUUGUGAUCUUGGUUUCAAAUGCAUAUUUGGAGUUGAUGAUGUAGAGAUCAUAAGUGUAGAUGGCUCUAACUUGAUAUUCAAAGGCUUUAGAUAUGAGAAUCUAUACUUGGUUGAUUUCAAUGCUAGUGAAGCUCAAUUAUCAACAUGCUUGCUCACUAAAUCUAGCAUGGGUUGGUUAUGGCAUAGAAGGCUUGGUCAUGCUGGAAUGAAACAAUUAAACAAGUUAGUCAAGCAUGAUCUUGUUAGAGGCUUGAAAGAUGUCACAUUUGAGAAAGACAAGCUUUGUAGUGCAUGUCAAGCCGGAAAACAAGUCGGCAACACUCAUCCAAAGAAAAGCAUCAUGAGUACAUGCAAGGCAUUUGAGUUGUUGCACAUGGACUUAUUUGGACCAACCACAUACACAAGCAUUGGUGGAAACAAAUAUGGAUUUGUGAUAGUAGAUGAUUUCACAAGAUAUACAUGGGUAUUCUUUCUUAAUGACAAGAGUGAUGCUUUUGCAAUCUUCAAAUCAUUUGUCAAGAGAAUACACAAUGAGUUUGAAUCAACCAUCAAGAAAGUGAGAAGUGACAAUGGAAGUGAAUUCAAGAAUACAAGAGUUGAUGAGCUUUGUGAUGAUUUUGGCAUUAGGCAUCAAUUCUCGGCCAAGUACACUCCACAAUCAAAUGGUCUUGUUGAGAGGAAGAAUAGAACCUUGAUUGACAUGGCAAGAUCAAUGUUGAGUGAAUACAAUGUGAGUCAUUCUUUUUGGGCCGAAGCAAUCAACAUGGCUUGCUACUAUAGCAACCGACUCUAUUGUCACCCAAUGAUGGAGAAGACUCCAUAUGAGCUCUUAAAUGGAAGAAAGCCCAACAUUGCAUACUUUCGGGUUUUUGGUUGCAAAUGCUACAUAUUGAAGAAAGGCACUAGAUUGAGUAAAUUUGAAAAGAAAUGUGAUGAAGGCUUCUUGCUUGGUUACUCAACUACUAGCAAAGCUUAUAGAGUUUGGAAUUUGGCUAGUGGUACUCUUGAAGAGGUGCAUGAUGUUGAGUUUGAUGAAACAAAUGGCUCUCAAGAGGAAGAUGAGAAUCUAGAUGAUGUGAGAGGCACUCAAUUGGCCGAUGCAAUGAAGAAUAUGGAUAUUGGUGAUUUAAGGCCUAGAGAGGUGAUUGAUGUUGAAGAUGACAAAGAUCAAGUGCUUCCUACCUCUAAUGUGCAAGCUAGUGGUUCUCAUGAUCAAAACCAAGCUAGUACAAGUGGUACACAAGUGCAAGAUCAAAAAGCUAGUACAUCAUCUCAUGAUCAACCAAGUGCAAGCAAUCAAGUGCAAAUACUCCAACCAACAAAUAUUGCAAGAGAUCAUCCAUUGGAUCAUAUCAUAGGUGAUAUUCAAAGAGGAGUGCAAACUAGAUCAAGACUAGCAUCAUUUUGUGAGCAUUUCUCCUUUGUGUCUCACGUUGAGCCAAAGAAGAUUGAUGAAGCAUUGAGAGAUGUUGAUUGGGUUAAUGCUAUGCAUGAAGAGCUUAACAAUUUCAAGAGAAAUCAAGUAUGGGAAUUAGUUGAGAGGCCUAGUGAUCACAAUGUUAUUGGUACUAGAUGGGUCUUUCGCAACAAGCAAGAUCAAGAUGGGAUAGUUGUAAGGAACAAAGCAAGAUUGGUAGCACAAGGCUAUACUCAAGUUGAAGGUCUUGACUUUGGUGAAACAUAUGCCCCGGUUGCAAGAUUGGAAACAAUUAGGAUCUUGUUAGCCUAUGCUUGUGCUCAUAACAUCAAGUUAUACCAAAUGGAUGUCAAAAGUGCAUUUCUCAAUGGCUAUAUCAAUGAAGAAGUCUAUGUUGAGCAACCUCCCGGUUUUGAAGAUGACAAGAAACCCAACCAUGUUUACAAGCUAAGAAAGGCAUUGUAUGGUUUGAUGCAAGCACCUAGAGCAUGGUAUGAGAGAUUGAGAGAUUUCUUACUCUCUAAAGGUUUCAAGAUGGGCAAGGUUGACACCACUCUCUUCACCAAGAAGAUUGGCAAAGACUUGUUUGUGUUGCAAAUAUAUGUUGAUGAUAUCAUUUUUGGAUCAACCAACCAAGAAUUUUGUGAAGAGUUUGGAAACAUGAUGGCUAAUGAGUUUGAGAUGUCAAUGAUUGGAGAGCUUAGCUACUUCCUUGGUCUUCAAAUCAAGCAAUUGAAGAAUGGCACAUUUGUGAGUCAAGGCAAGUACAUAAAAGACAUGCUCAAGAAGUUUGGUAUGGAUGAUGCAAAAUCAAUUAGCACUCCAAUGGGAACAAAUGGAAGCCUAGAUAGUGACACAAGUGGAAAUAUGGUGGAUCAAAAGUUAUAUCGGUCUAUGAUUGGAAGCCUACUCUAUGUGACCGCAUCAAUACCGGAUGUCAUGUUUAGUGUAUGCAUGUGUGCAAGAUUCCAAGCCUCACCAAGAGAAAGUCAUUUGAAAGCAACAAAGAGAAUAUUGAGGUACUUGAAGCAUACACAAAAUGUUGGUUUGUGGUAUCCCAAAGGUGCAAAGUUUGAACUUGUUGGAUAUUCCGAUUCGGACUAUGCGGGAUGCAAAGUUGAGAGAAGAAGCACAUCGGGCACAUGUCAACUAUUGGGAAGAUCACUUGUCUCAUGGUCAUCCAAGAAACAAAAUAGUGUUGCACUAUCAACCGCCGAAGCGGAGUACAUUGCGGCCGGUAGUUGUUGUGCACAAAUCCUAUGGAUGAAGGCAACAUUGAAGGACUUUGGAAUCAAUUUCAAAGAAGUGCCAUUGCUAUGUGACAAUGAAAGUGCCAUGAAGCUCACCAACAAUCCGGUUCAACACUCAAGAACAAAGCACAUAGAUGUCCGCCAUCACUUCAUAAGAGAUCACCAACAAAAGGGGGACAUUUGCAUUGAGAGUAUAAGCACCAAUGAUCAACUUGCCGAUAUAUUCACCAAGCCACUUGAUGAGAAGAGGUUUUGCAAGCUAAGGAAUGAAUUGAACAUACUUGACUUCUCAAAUAUGUGUUGAUGCACCCCCACUAUAUGACAUGCCUCUCCUUCGAGCAAAGCAAGGUAAAAUUGUUUGACAUGUCAUCCAGGCUAUGCUAAGGACUUGCUUAGUGCAUCUAGUCAUUCCUUACAUGUCUUAGGCUGAUUCAUGAAAAUCAAAUGAAUUUGAUGCUUGUAUGGUACCACUAUUGCUUCUAUGCUUGACUUGAUCUAGUGGUAGCAUAUGACAUGUUUAUGGGCUUGCAAUCCUAGUGUUUGAUCUAGAAUAUGAGCUAUAAGUGUUUAACUCAACAUGGUACAAGAUAACCCUUAUUUGGAGGUGUGAAGAAGCUUGUCCUUGGAUCAAACCGAGUUAAAUAUCUUAGGCAAGUAAUCUAGAUUGGACCAAUUUGGGAAAAUGAUCUCACUUCACAUGGUUUCACACUAACCUAUCUAAAAUUUGAGCUCACCUUUUGUGGUCAUUGAUGACAAAGGGGGAGAAAAUUUACCAAAGAUUUAAGAUAGGGGAGUAACUUAAUAAAAGAAGGGGAACAAUUAAAAUUUUGAAGCACACAAGUAGGGGGAGCAAGCUCAUAAACUUGUAUGUUGCCUUUGAACGUGCAUAACAUAUGGUUGCUUGCAUUUGCAUUAGCUUUAGAAGUUUUCUCUCCAAUGCCUUGCUUGUGUGGUGUAUGCUAGUUGUAAGCUUGAUUGAUGAAAUGAAGAACUAGCAUGCAUAGGUAGUGUAACUAGACUUUUAGUUGUUUCACAAGUAGUACUAGAACCUUGCUUAUAAUGUUGAUCUCACGGGGUGUUCUAGUUUUGUGAAUGUCUAGUUACUAAUGGUGCUAAGGAUGGUAUAUAUUGGCAACUCCGAUUGGUAUCACGCUUCAAAGGUCCAUUCUUUACACCUUAGCAUCAUUUGGUAGAAAUUGACUCCUAUAUCUCCUAUUCAAGCAUAUGUGUAAGCUUUCAAAUCCAAACUCUUAGCACAUAUGUAGGGGGAGCAAUUGCUACCAAUUUGGGUUUAUGAAGCUUGUCCAUAACCUUUGCACAUGGUAAAAUGCUUGGGCAAGCAACAUGAAUCCAAGAAAAUUUUAUUGAAAAUCUUUGUAAAAAGGGUUGUCAUCAAUUACCAAAAAGGGGGAGAUUGAAAGCCCUAGUUUGGUUUUGGAUAAUUGAUGAAACCCUAGUACUAACCUCUAUACUAAGUGUGUGUAGACUUAAUGAGGUUGGUACAUGCCAAGUGAUGGAGCAAGUGAUGAUGAUGGUGAUGACCACAAGGUGAUCAAGUGCUCAACUUGGAAAAGAAGAAAGAGAAAAACAAAACCCUAUGGAGAUCAAGGCAAAGGUAUUGCUUAGGGUUUUGGUUUUGGUGAUCAAGACACCAUAGAGGGUGUGAUCACAUUUAGGAUAGAUAGCCGUACUAUAAAGAGGGGAAUUCUUUGGCUAAACGGUUAUCAAGUGCCACUAGGUGCCAUUGUUCAUGUGCAUGCAUUUAGAACCUAGUGAGCUAACUUAACUCCUUCAAAGAAAUUGAUUGUGAAAAUGCUAACACACGUGCACAUGUUGGUUUACACAUUGUGGUGUUGGCACACUUUCGGCGCUUUUCGAGAAAAUGAAGUGCAUAUUUUCUAUUGCGCUGGUGGGAAAUUUGGAGAAGUCGUGGGAGUGUUUCUCGCUGAGAAAACACUCACCGGACGCUGGCUCAGAGGCACCGGACGCUGUGUCUGAGCGUCCGGUGCACAGGCUGCCUGGCCCAUCUAGGGUAAGGCACCGGACGAUAGGCACCGGACGCUGGCUUGUGAGUCCGGUGGUCCGUGUCCGGUGUGAGGUCCGUUUUGCAGACCUCUCUGGGUGUGAGUCCGGUGAGCACCGGACGCUCAGGGUGCGUCCGGUGGCUCGCGUCCGGUGACCCUGCGAGUUUGCGGAGCUCUCUGCGCAUGAGUCCGGUGUGCACCGGACGCGUCCGGUGCUAACUUGCUCAGCGUCCGGUGCUCUGCAGGUUACCGUUAGACUCUGACACACGGCUGACUUUAGAGCACCGGACGCAGGUGUUGAGCGUCCAGUGCCCCUUUAAGAGCGUCCGGUGACCCCGUAUUUCGCCCAGUGAAAGCGCCAACGGCUCUAUUUGCUUGAGGGGCUAUAAAUACGUGUUUGGCCGGCUUGGGGCUCACCCUCUUGGCAUUCUUGACUACUAGACAUCCUUGUGAGCCUAAGCAAACUCCUCCCACUCAUCUCAUUCAUAGAUUAAACAUCUUUGUGAGAUUGGGAGUGAUUCCAAGUGCAUUUGCUUGAGUGAUUGCAUCUAGUGGCACUUGGGGAUCGUUCUAGCUGCGGUUUUCUUGUUACUCUUGGUGGUUGCCGCCACCUAGACGGCUUGGAGCAGCGGAGGAGGAUUGGCACGAGUUGGUGAUUGUUCGUGGCCAUCUCCCGGUGAUUGUGAGAGGUUUGUGCCUACCUCGGCGGAGUGCCAAAGGCAACAUUAGUGGAUUGCUCGUGUCAUUGAGUUACCUCACUUGUGGGUAGGUUCUUGUGGUGUCCUAGUGAGGACGAGGUUCGUGCAACACCUCUUAGCCACCGAACCACCAAGUGUUGGUCGACACAACGGGGACGUAGCGUGCCGGCAAGCACGUGAACCUCGGGAGAAAAAUUGUGUGUCUCCAUUGUGAUUGUUCAUUGGAUUUCUCCCGGUGAUUGGACUUCAUAUUAUUGAUUGGUUCAUCCCCUCUACGCGGCGGUAUAAAGAUCAAACUAUCUCUUUUUACAUUCCCGCAAACUAGAGUAGCUUACUUACUUGUAUAGAAACUUUUAGGUAGCUUUCUAGUGUAAGUAGUGACAUAGCUCUUGUGUGCCUAGUGAUUAUAUCAACUAGAAUUGUUGGAUAGGUGGCUUGCAAACACCCCAUUAGAGCUAGAGCAAAAAGCUUCGCUUUGUUAUUAACUAACCUCUUGCUCUAGUGAGUUUGUAGAUUUUUUAAAUAGGCUAUUCACCCCCCCUCUAGCCAUAUUAGGACCUUUCACCUAUAUGACACACUGUUACAAGUUUGAGGGCAACUGGUGCAUUUAAAGAUCAUACUAUGGUUUUGCAAAAUGAGGCCUAACUGAAGUUUUUGAUACUUGAAAAUACAUAGAAAUACUAGCAUAUGCAUAUGCUCGUGUGUAACAAUGGGACAAAACCCUUAUCAAGCUGAAGCCAGACAAACAUGGCCUCUUAGAAUUAAACCAAUCACAUAAACUUAGUUUUAUAUCCCAAAACUAUUCCUUCAGCUUGUUCCUAUGCAUCCCAGUGGUUUAGACUAAACUAAAAUAAAAUAUCAACUUCAUAAACCAAGCAACGUUCGGCUUAACCUAGUAAGACACAUGCAUCCCACAUGCCUUUUUGUUCUAAGAACCUAAGCCUAGGCCAUGAAUUUUGUGUUUCUCACGGCUUGUGAUAGGAGUCAAGUCACAAUUUUCAGCUAGUGAAAAAAAUCUUUUUUUACAAAUAGCAUCCAUUUCUAAUAGCUGCAGAUGACAUAAGAAACCUCCUAUAACUAUGGCAGGAUGAAUCUAGCUCAUGAAUCACCCUUAUUAGAAAUCAAACUUUAGGGGCGGUUCUGUUAACAAACCGCCCUUAGAGACGUAUCCAUUUUUAGAGACGGUUUGCAAUAAAAGGACCACCGCUAAAAAUAAGAUUUCUAGGGAUGGAUGUCUUUAUCGAACCACCUCUAGAAAAAACAGAUUAUGAGGGUCAUUGAUGUUAAGAAAAAUGUGUUAGGACUUUAUUAAUAGGGGCGGUUCUCUUGGUCAACCGGCCCUAAAAAGAACUUGCUACAAAUACCCUUUCUCCUCCUUGUUUUCAACAUCCACUGUAGUUUACCAAAAGGAUUUUCAAGAAAUUCAAAAUGGUUUCUACAAGUUCUAGAUGCGGGAGGUUCUCUAUGAUAGGAGCUCUUUCUGUGAAAAGUAUUUGACUAUGCAAAAGACCCUAAGUUUGAGGCUCUUCGUGCUUCAACCGAAAGACCCUUCGCUUCUUUGUUAUAUGAAGCACAAUGUUGAUUAAUAGUCUAUAAAUUAGAGUACCAUAGAAAUAGUUUGUAAAACAACUGAGUAUUAAUUAACUAGUACCUUAAUAAUCUACAUAUGAAUCUAUUUUGAAUAAAUUGCAAUUGGCUCUAUAAUUUGGUGAGAAACAACAAUUUCAAAUAUGGCGGGAAAAUUCAAAAGUUUAAACAGGUUUGCAGUGGCAAUUCAGUUUGAAUAGAAUCGACCUUGUAAAUAGAUUUCAGGGGUGGUUCAUUUAAGCCAACAACCCCUGAAAAAUUAUUUUCAACUGCGGUUACCUUGCCACAACCAUCGUUGAAAAGCAAUUUCAAGGGAUUUCAUAAAGGCAAUUGCAUCUAGAAAUGUGGUUUAGGAGUGUGUCAUAGAGCAACUGCCACUAAAAAUCUAUUUAGAAGGGCAGUUGUUUCAAACCAAUCGCCCCUAAAAAUAUAGUUUCAAGGGAAGUUGUCAUAAAGCAUUCUCCCUUGCAAAACAUAAUUUCAAGAUUUCUUAAUGACACCACUCGUAGAAAUCCUUUUCUAGGAAUAGGUAAAUGUCCGAUGCUACAACAACCCUAUCUUUACAAUCAAUGGCAUAGUGGUAGUUUUAUGAACUAGAGCUCAACAUCGUUUUUGACAAUGAGCAAAAAUCAUUUAUGUACUAGUGUUUGUAUCAGUAUACAAACACAACCGUCAUUAUAUUUUUUUCAUUAUAUUUGUUACAAGAUUUUUUAUUUAAUUUUGAUCACUAGAAGACCAUGAAACCUAACGGUGCAUAUGAUCUUGUGGCUUGUUAUUUGGUCACCGUAAUGUGAAUCAAUAGGUCAAGAAUUCGACUUUGCACCUUGCAGCAAAAUUGCACAUUGUAAAAAAAUCACAUUGCAAAAUUGCAAGUUGUAAAAAGAUCACAUUAAUUGUCACCAAAGCCAGAGUUCGGGGGCUGGGCUUUCUUAGGUGGCAUGACUGAGGUGUUUUACCAUAAAAGCAAUGUCAUGUGGGAGGUCAUAAACCCAGCUCGUCUGAGUUUCUAUAAGUCCUAAUGGUGUUCAUGGAGUCCUAGCAGUUUGCUGUGCGCGGUGUCCUAGCACAAUAUAAUGUUUCUCAAAUUAAAAUUAUGAAAUUCAUUGCUCUUAGUAACAAGUAGAGUUCUAUUUCUAGAUGCAGCAUUGGUAUCUUUCAAUUGUGGAAGUUCAUUAGCACAAAACGAUGUUGGUGAUUUGGUUGCAAAACUAAGUUGAGCAACAAGCUUGUUUGUAAUAAAUUUGAUGGAACACCUUUUUAACCACCUCUCCACACCUGUUAGGAACAAUAGUUCAUGCUUGUGGGUCCAAGAUAUGAUGGAAACUAUAAUUUGAUGAUAAUUUGAUCAAAUUUACAUGCAUCUAAUUUGUGAAAUACAUUACAAUGAGUUCAUUAUAGAUUUUGAGAUUCACUAGAUCAAAAUCUAGCUUCAAUUUAAGAUAGAGAUAGAGAUAGAGAUAGAGAUAGAGAUAGAGAUAGAGAAUGAGAAAAGAUAGAGAUAGAGAUAGACAUGCAGAAGAAAAGAUACAGAUAUAGAGAAGAAAUGGAGAUUAUAGAGAUAGUGAUGUACAAAGAGAAAGGUUAGGGAUACAUAUAGAAUAAAAGAUAUAGAGAUAGAUAGCAAAAUAAAUUAAAUUGUUGUCUUGGCAAAAUAAAUUAAUAUAUAUAUGCCACUUAACAACCCAAGGCAAGAUGCAGAGCCUUGGUAAUUAUAUUGCUUCUCUUUGUAUUUCUUGUGCAAUGUAAGUGUCUCAUCAUUCUUUAUCUUUGAAUUUUUCUUGAUGUGCAUAUAUAUACUACAUCCUCACGAACACAUAAUCUAUCAGGUCGUCCUCACGAGGACAUCGAUUUUGGAACUACAAGGGGCCGAGCUGCUUUUAGUCUCACCGGAACUGGAUAUUGUGACAUGGAGCGCCAAAAUAAUAAAGUGGUCUACUGCUGCUCACAUCCAAUGCCAAAACAUUGUUAUAACACUUUUCAGCAGUGUCAGGCCAAUUGCUAUGUUCGUAAUCGCAACUGAUUCCCCAUGCAGUCAAUGAUACAUAAUCUGAGCAAUCUUCAGGUCCAUUUGAUUCACUACUACAGAAAUAU